GCCGGCAACGUUCCGUUCCCUAUCAGAACAUCGCCAUUGCUGGUCACACAUGAAAUGACGAAUGGGUCGUACGAGAAGGAGAGAUGAGAGUUGGGGUUUUUGGAAGAAAGGGUUAAGUUGAAAAGGGUUGAAAGAUGGGAAGUGGAGGAGUCGACGGCGGUUUUGAGCUUCAAGCGGUGGAUACGGAGGGAAGCGAGGGUGAAAGAAGGGCGGUGAGGGCGGUAAAGGACGUAAAGGACUGUGCCAGUUAUGGCUACUAAAAGGGCGAGCACGAGGAUUAUGAGGAUGAUCCAGAAACAGCAGCAGCAACAGUAGUUGCGCCGUGGACGGUAGUUGCGACGUCUGUUAUGGGGCUGUGGACGGUAGGGUAGGCGGGCGGUGGGGUUAAUGAGGUGGGAUUUUGUAGUUCCGCCGUUGGUUGUGGUGGUGGUGGUGGUGGUAGUAGUAGUAGGAGCUGCUGAUCCACCAGGGGCAGCGGUGGCGGUGGGUUUGGAGGAAGGGAAUACUUUGUCCGCCAUUGUCAAAAACUGAAAAAUGGAGGAUGUUUCAAAGGAAAAGUUAGGAAAUGGUGAAAUUUGUAAAGGGAGAAAGAGUGAAUUCGAGGAGAAGAAUUGAACAUUGAAGUGAAAGACUGGUACUUUCCACCUUUGGAUGGUACCACCUCACCAUAUUUGGAUUUAUUUAUUUUUUAAAUUAUUGUGUUUAAUAUAAGCAUUUAAUCGAAUUUUUUAAAAAUUAUUUUAGCCAAUUAAAUUUGAUAAUUUCAUGUUAAUAUGUACAAACGUAGGCCAACUUUGAGCACUUUAAUUUCUUCAAAGUAACAGCGUCGGAGGAACGACCUAACUAAUUAAGGUCAGUAGCACAUCGCCGACAGUAGAGACGAGAAGACCGGUGCUCACCGUGAGACGGACCGACCGACCCACCCCUAAGUCCAACUAUGAGUUUUUUAACUGCAAUAACUUAAAUAUAUCCUAUUGGAGUUGGAAUUACCGCGACUACCACUCACAUUUUUGUAUUUUAAUAUAAGCAUUUAAUUGAAUUUUUUAAAAGUUAUUUUAGCCAAUUAAAUUUGAUAAUUUUAUAUUUUAAUAUAAAUAUUUUAAUUUUAUAAUAUAAUUGAUUUGUGAGUAAUUAUUUUGAUUAAAAUGAAAACAUAUUUUUUAUGAUAAAGAGUAAUGUCAAAUAGUUCAUUUCCUCAGUUCCUUUUUUUCUUUAAAUAGUAUCAACAUUUUAAUAAAAAUAAUAAUUAAUGGUAUUAAAUUAUUGAGUUCAUUAAUAAUAUUAUAAAAUGAUUAUAUUAAAUUAAAAUAUAAAACUUUAUAUUUAAAUUUCUGAAGUACUUUACUGAAGUGUUGAAAAUAAUAAAUUUAAAAAAAAAAAUCAGCUUUUCAAACUUGAAUGUCAAGUCAAGGUUUUUCUUUCAUUUUGGUUAAUGUCCGAAGGAACAUGUUACACGUUGGUUAGGAUCUUUUUUAUUUUAGAUCUCUUUGUCUUUUGAGAUGUGAUGAUGGCGUAAACUAUCAGCAAUAAUUAUUAGCUUAACUUUUUUUUUUAGAGUUUUAGAUUUAUUAAUUAUUUUGUAUAAAUUUGCUCAUUGCUUUUUAAUGUAUUAGUCACUUUUAUUGGCGGAGUAAAAUUCAUUUCUUUCGAAAAAAAAAUUGAAUUUCAAAUUAACUUAAGUGAGUUUUAAAUUUUUUUUAGUUAACUUGAAUUAAUUCGAGUUUAAAUUUAAAUUUUAUAAUUUAAAUAAUUUAAAAAUGAAUAAAUUGACCUUCCUCAACAACAAUUAAAAAAAGUUCAAAAUAAUUUUAAACAAUUUAAUAUAAUUUUCAAAAUUCAAAAUAUUUAUAAAAGAUUCAAAAUUUUGUACUUUUUAAAAGAUUAUAAUUUUUAAAAAAACUAUAGAAUAUAUAAAGAAAGUUAAAAUUUAAAAAAAAAUUUAAAAUAAUAAAUUUGGGACUUAAUUUUAACUAAAUUAAUUAUUCAAUUCUAUUAUACUUAAAUAAGUUAAUAAUUUUGUAUUGAUGGAACUUAUGCUUCAUCAUCUACGAUGAGUGUUUGUUAUUUUUUCUUUAAAUUGUAUGGUUCCAUUCAUUGAAUAAAUUAAUGAAUUUAUCUUUCAAAAAAAUUUAUUCAAUUAUACUAUACUAAAGUAUAUUUUUUUUUCUUAUUUUGCUUUAAAAAAAUUUCAAAUAUAUAUGGUUUUAAAUGUAUGUGCUCUAACAUAAAAAUAGUUAUAUUGUAACAAUAUUUUAAUUUGUCAUGUUUAAUUUUUUAAUCUAACUCGAAUAAUUUCAUUUGAGUCGUUGACUUAAAUUUCAUUUCAAUCGACUCGAUCUGAAAGAAUUUCAAAUCGAGUUAGGAUGAUAGAAUAAGAUUUGUCAACUCAAUUAAAAGUUCAUAAUGUUAUAAAUUAUAAUUAAAUUUAUAUUUCUAUUUAACCAGCUUGAAAUAUUGGUUAUGAUAAUUUUUUUUGUGUAAAACUAGAAUGAGAAAAUGUAAUUUAUCAAUUUCUAUUUGUUUAAGUUUCAAAUGAAAUGAUUGGGUAAAAAACAUAAAAAUGUGUUUUUUUAUAAUAAAAAUUAUCAAAUUAGGCUAGUUUUUCGAAAAAUUGCGGGAUUAAGACGAAAAAAAACGCUUCUAGCUGAAAGUGUUUUCCAUAACGACUACCUCACUCAACGGUUAUUUAAAUAGCCGUUUAAACCCCUCCCCCACCCCCCGGACUAAUUUUUCAAGUCAAUCUCAACUCAUCUCUUUCUCACAUUCUCAAAUCUCUCUCAAUUCCCUUUUAAUUUCUCACUCAACUUUUAUUCCUCUCUCAACUCUCUCUCUCUCUCUCUCUCUCUCUCUCUCUCUCUCUCUCUCUUUUAUUAUUAAAAUUUUAUUAAGGUUUUUUAAAUUAUUUUUUGUAUUAAAAUUUAUUUGGUAUUUAUUGAAAUUAGUGAUGGAAAAAUCUCUAAUUCGUUUAGAUGACAAGUAUAUUUCGGUCGAUCAAUUGCAAAUGGUAAGAAUUUUUUUAUUAUAUUUAACCUAAUUUAGUUUAAAUAUUUUCUUGUUAUAUUAAAAUUUAAUAUUUUGUAUGUUUUUUAUAUAUAGUUGGAAGAUCAGAUUUUGGAGACUUAUAUUCGUAAUCUACUCGCUCCUCCAUCGUCUUUAAUCAAAACCAUACUUGAGAGAUGCGAAAUUUUUGCACAUGGUCUAACUGGCUCGCGCACUCGCGCACAAAAACAACAAUUUUACAAAACAAUUUAUGAGUUUGGUUGUAGUGCAGACAUACAAGUCAAUUGUAAUAUUUAUAGUGUCCAAUGGAACACCUAAGUAUUUCAAGGGGUCGAACCCAAAAGAGAUGGCGAUUGAGUAAUAAAUAGCGUACACUCUAGAUUCUAAGUGACUACUGGUACGAUUUUAUAGUACAAAAAAUCAUGCCAAGAAAAUUUUGUAAGAAAAUUAAAUACGCUACUCUAAGGACCAAAUUGUAAAGAGCAUAAAACUACAAAAUUAAACAAAAAUAGAAAACAUCGGCAGAUCGAAGUUCAAAUCAAAGCCACUAACUCAGUGUUGUGUUGGUAGAGGUGUUCAUGAGUCGGGCUCAACUAAAAAUUUAGACCCAUCUACUAGGCCUACACCCGACCCGAAAAAUGGGCCUAAAAUUUUACCCAAGCCCGACCCCGAUAAAAAUACUAAAACCCGAGCCUGACUCGGCCUGCCCAUAUUAAUUUUUUAUAUAUUUUUUAAAUAUAUAUAAUACAUCAAAAAUACUAAAAACAUCAAAAUAAAUAUUUUCUAACAAAUUGAAAAUAAAUCUUAAAAAAUAUGUAUACUUAAAUAACACUAAGAUAGAUACAACUUAACAAGCAAAUGUCUCUAAAAUAAUAACAAAAUUAACAAAAUUAACAAUAAAAUAAAUUUUAUAUAAUAUCCAAAAAUAACAAUAAAAUAGUAGCAAUAUAUAGUAAAAUGGUAGAAAAAUAUGGAGAAAACAAGAAGAAAGUAACAUUAAAAAAAAAGGUUUUUUUGUCCUUUAGUGAAUUCAGGACGAGCCGGGCAGGGUCCAGGCUGUUUUUUAAACGGCCUUAUUUUUUUGUCAAAGCCCAUUUUUUGGGCCUAUAUUUUUGUCCAAACCCUCCCACAUUUAGGGUGAGCCUUCGGGCCAUGCCGGGUGGCUCGACCCAUGAACAGAUCUACGUGUUGGGGUCCAGUAUUCUAGGUUACUGCCAAACCCCAACUGCUAAACGUUCUGCCUACCACAGUUGAAAUCUAAGGCUGAAACCGAUGAGUGUUUUCUUGUUGAUGAUUCUGAGAUAUCAUAAUGGAAACUUUCUAACAAAAUAGAGAACCCACCGCACAAUUGUGUCAUUGGACUCUAAACUUGUCCUUUCGUUCCGACCUCUCGAACUGGAACAUAUGUUGACCUUCGACAACCUUCAUAUGUGUUUGCAAACUCCGCAUAUAACUCGAGUAUUAAUGAUCCACUAGUAAUAUGCAUCUGCACCAUGCCUCCAUCCACCUUGUGCCUUUGAUAUCAAAAGCGUCAUAUUUGACGAGGUCAACCGAAGCACAAAAUCGAUAUUUCAAUGAUGAUACUCUCAUUUGAUUGGAUUUGACGAUUUUUUGCCUAAUUCUUGCACGCAACUCCAGCAAUUGUAUGUUAAGGUUGAAAGCCAACCAUGCUGUGUUCUCAGAUAAAAAAUGACCCUAUUGUCAGCAUCACGGACUUCACUGUAGUAAUAAACAACAUUAUUUUGUCCACUCAUUUUCAAUGAAAUAACCUAUUUCACAUGUUCGAAACAAAAACAUUAUGCAAAAAAUAGAGUUGUAAUUAUAUAUGAGCAACAAAAAUCGAACCUUACUUUAUGCAAUUACGUGUUUACUCAAAAUUAUGCCUUACGAAAUGGCUUGCGAAUUUCAUCUUGCAAUUUUGUUUGCUUGAAAUUGCCUUAUGGCAUUCAAUGCUGAAAGCCAUCCUUUUAUAUAGCCGAGGUGAGUGACAAUUGAUUCAGAAAAUUUUCCCGAGUGAGUGGUAGAGGAAAAACGCGCCCUACGUGGAGCGUUUUCUCACUACCACUCUCAACUCCUACAAUUUCCCACUCACUCAUCAGAUAUCCCGAGAUUCUCGAGAUAAUAUUUUCUGAAAAAUUCUUAUCGACCUCAAUCUACCAUAAGCUACGAGUGAUCAAAACUCGGUUGCAUUCGAAAAAAUUGAAAAAAAAAUUACGAACUAAGAGUUAAUCGAAUCGAGUAGUUCGAGUUUUGAUUUUGAAUCAAAUUAAAAUUUACAAUUCGAAUAUAUAAUUGGUGUAAAUAUGAUUAUUGUAAAUACUCUUCUGAUACCUAUCAUUUUUCAUUUUUGAAAAUUAUAUCGAAUUGUGCUCUAAAUAAUUUCAAAAUUUUAAAAAUAAUAUUAACUUUAUAACUUAAAAAAUUAUAAAAAGUUUAAUUAUUAAAGUUGUAAUAAUAUAUGAGAAACAAAUAAAUUAUAAAUUAUUAAAGUGUAAAAGUGCAAUUAUAUUGACAUGUAAUUUCAUAAAAAAAAAUAAGAAACGAGAAAUUUUGUAGGGAGGGACAGAAUUAAAUAGUAUAUUUUUUUAUAAUAAAAAUACAAUUUUACUAUUUUAAUAACUUCUAAAGAAUUAAAUCAAAGUUUUAUUAUUUUUGAGGUCAAAGUACUAAUUUAAAUUUUUAUAAAUUAUUAAAGAGGGGAAGGGAAAAAAAAAUCAUUUUACUAGCUCCGCCAUGGACAAACCUAUCAUUUUUGUUUUAUACACUAUCUGUUAAGAGAAAACAGAUAGAGAGAAGUUUAAUAUCAGUAGGCAAACCAUCCCUUUUGCAUUAACUUAAAACCGAAGUAAAAUAUUUAUUCUAUAAAAAACCAAAGUAAAAUUACUAGGUAUUUUGGCAGUAGAAUUUUUUAAAAAAUAACGGGCUCUUUUAAUAAAUUUUUAAUUUUUUUUUUUUUGGAUUUCACUAAAUUUUAGUUUUGGGGAAUGGGGACAUAACAUAAUCUCAAGGUUUUUAUUUCAGGAGGAAUAAACAAAAUUCCUAAAAAAUUAUAAUUGAACAACCCAAAGAAAAUCUGAAAAAAGGGCGUAUUGAGUUUUGGUUGUUGAGUUGAGAGUUAGUUGUAGGUAAAGCAUGAUCAUCUAUUCAUCAUAUUUCAUGCUUCCCUUUUUCCUACCAAAUUACAAGCAUUUGUUAUGAUGUCAUUUUUCUUAUUGAAUAAAACCGUAAAACCAAUGUCUGAAUUUGGUAAUACGAUAUAAGUUGAUAUGGAUGGUGAGACUUCAUCUUCGAAGUCAUUUCCCCUUACCUAAGCUACCAUCCAUGAAGGACAAUGAUCAUUCAAGCCAAGGGCUUCCCUUUUACCAGUCUUAAAUUGAUAAAAGGCAAAUAGAGUAUGCAAGCCUGUAUAUGGACACACUUUGGUGAUUAUAUAAUAAAACAAAUGUGCAUUUAGAAGCAUCUUGAUUUGAAGUUUACUAAGCUCAAUUCAAAAUUGACAUUCAAGAUUAUCCUCCAACUUCCAACAUACCUGGAAAAAGAGGAGGAUGAAACCGGGAAAUCUUGUACCAAUAUUUUGAGCAUGAAUUUCCAAGAAAAAAAAAAAGAGAGUAACAAUUCAUGGUUCAUAUCUCAAUUAGACAUUUGCUACAUGAAGCUCUCACUAGCAUGUCCAUUAAGUUCUCCACAGGCCAUUACCAUUGUCACAGUCACCAAAUCAGUAUAAUUCAUGUCACAUUAUAAGACUUGUAUGGUAAAACUAUGAAAAAUGGGCAAAAAAAGGAGACACCAUGCUAGCAAAAUGUAUAUUAUAGUAUGGUCACGAAUCAUGAUUUCACACCCAGAAACCAACUCGGUCUAAAGUGCAAAUCCGGAAAGGUGGAUGGUUAAUGGAUUCUACUUGCCUUUGUUCUUUGCGGAUCCAGAGUAAUGCAGAAAGCAUGGGAGAAGAAAUUUCAUCAAGUUCUUCAUCAGAACUAAAUGGUAAUCAUGUCAUUUGUUGUCAGCUCCCAUGGUUCUUCGUAUAAAAAUUUCUCAAUCACAGUGAAUGCUGCCCUAGGAAUGCCUUCAUCCUCUUUGAAUUCUUCAUCAGGGACAUUCUUUGAUUUCACCUAAUCUGUCAUGACUUCCACUACCAAGUAAGAGAAAACAAUAACUUUUUCUGCAAGUCAUCAGCAACAAAAUGUAAUUUGUAUAAAGAUCAAAUAAUUUACAAGGACAUCUUGAACUCGAUCCAUUCAUUGCAGUUAAAAAAAAUAAAGAUGUCUUAACUGCAUAGCAGUGUGAAGAUUAAACAAUCGACUCAAGUACUUCAAACAAACAAACAAAAAAAAGGAUAGGAUUCCCAAUGCAAAGAAAUAUAUAGAACCAAAAUGAAACACAUUGAGCCCUUGCAAACACUCGGACAUUGUAAUAACACUUCCAAAUGCCUUAAUGAAAGAAGCAUUUCAGUCAUUACAUUUGGAUUAUUGGAAAACUUUGUUCAUAUGAAAUGCUAAAAAGCAUCUAAGAAUUUCCAUUCUGAACCUUAAAAUUUGAAUACCUCGGGAAUCUGCAGCUCCUAUGCAUAAGCAUAACUGUAACCAGAACAGGGGCGAUUGCAGAACACAGGUGCUCCAAGGAGUGUCCACUGAUAAUAUAAUUAUUUGCGCGGUAUAUCUUCAUGUCAGCUAGAGCUUCCAUUUUGGCCAGGAUGAAAACUCCUGUACCAGAUUGUUAUCGUAUUUUUAAGCAAACCAACAUUCUUGAGAGCAAGGAAAGAAAAUACAAUAUACUCCCAAUGCUUUUCGAAAACAGAGAGAACGAGAGAGUAUAAAAUGACAUAAAGAUUAAAGAAGACAAUCCAAAGGAAGCAUAUUCCAUACAGCUCCUAGCAUGCUAAUUGUAGUAAACCACAAAUUUCUAACCCUUUUUCCACAUGAUUAUUUGCUUGAAGUGGGAUUUCCAUGUGAGACGGGAAAAGGAAGACAAAUGACAUACCUACCGUCCAAAGCCAGUAUCUAGAGUGGGUAUAUUUAGGUGGGAACAAAAAUGUCAUGAUCGGAAUAGCAAUGCACGGAAUUAACUGGAAUAUCAUGCACAACCGAAGAUCAUUAAAUGUUCUGCAAACAAUAAUCGAGUCUUAUUCAGCCAAAACAAAUCGAAAUCUGAAUGACAAGCAUUGACCAAUUCAGUGAACAGAUGAAAAGAUCAUCUCAAGAAAGAAUCAAACCUUGCAUAACUCGUGCUUAGAACAGCAAGAACUACUAGUGAAAAAAGGCAACUUAAUCCAAUUCUUUCUCCGAGUCUCUCGAGUAUAAAAGUAGAAAAAAGAGAGGAAUAAGCAAUCAUCAUCUGCACAUAUGUGAAUUAAUUUGAUGUUAUGGAGCAUUUGACAGAAAUAUGGUAGUAAAAUUCCAAAGGGGCUAUGAUUGUGGAUGAAAUAGAAUGGAAACUCAUCUGCAAUUUCUGAUUCUUUCUAUGUAAAAAGACAAUAAAAACACCAAAUUAGAAACAAAGCAAGUGAGAUUUCAACUAUUUGGCAUUCAGCAAUGAAGCGCAAAUUCGAAGAAUAGACAAAAAUAUAAUAUUGAAGUUCAUGGUUUCAACUACGGCAAAUAGCUGUGUUAAGAACAACAUUUGAAUGAUGGAAACAACCAUCAAGAACCGAAAGCUAGAGGAACAAAUAAAAAAAAUAUAAAGAAGUAAAGUUGCAAGGCUAACCGGCAAGGUGUCCAGAAGUACUCGAUUGUCAUCAGGCCUGAGAUGAUAAUAAGCAGAACCAAAAGCCACACUAGCAGUUCCUCCAUAGAAAAGCAGCCAGCCCCACAUCUCUCCUGGCAAUCUGCCACCAAUCCACCGUCCAUAAACAUCAGUUAAUCAGCAAAUGGUCAUAAAUUUAUCCUUUAAAAAUUACAACUUAAAGAAAUCUAAUUUUUUUUUAAAAAAAGGGGGCAAGAAAACAACCUUAUAUUGAAAAAGCUUCCUCCUCCAAGGCAAAGAACAAACCCAAGAACACCCACAAUCAGAAAUGGGAAAUUGGUGAUCACAUUCAACGUGUUAGGAACUCCUAUAAGCAAAACAAAGAAUGAGGAAACAUAAAAUUUUGCAAAUUUUCCCUUUUAAUGUACAAUUUUCUCUUCUUCUUUUUUCCACAUCCCAUCCCAUACCUUCACUUCACUUCACUUGUUUCUUAGAAAACACGAUGUAAAAGAAAGAGUUACCUACGAAGUUGCGCAUGUCAGCAUAGAGAUGGUUCCUGUAAGAAAGUGGGAUCUUUGGAGUAACCAACAUGAUGAAAAGCCAACAAAGCAAUGCAACUCCCCAUGUUCGACUUCUUCCUCUUCCUACCUGUUGAUUCACCAUCCAAACCAUUGUUUCCUCUUUUUUUUUUUUCUUUUUUCUUUGAAAGAAAAACUGUCAACUUUUCCUUCUCUGUUUCCACUGUCUAUGUUUGGGUUUUUUUUUUCUUAUGAUCUGCUCUAUACUUCCGGGGAAUAUUUUUCUUCGGCUUUAUGUUCGAUUUUGCAUUUGUUUUCAUUCGAAUUUGACGAUGUUUCAUAUGUGUCCCCUCCCUUUAUCUUCUCCCAACAUGGGCUAUAUAGGCCCUUUUUCUUUCUGAGGCUGUUUUCAGAUUACAUAGACCUGUAAAUAGGAUCCAAAAAAAGAAAAAUAAAAUUUCUUUCCUUUUGUGAAGGCCCAAUCUUGAAUUAUGGUAAAUUUCUCUAAGUUGGCACAUGAAGGCAUGGCUUUAAGCCUCUUGCCUUUCAUUUAUUCACCAAACCUAUCUGUGUUUAAAAUUUCAAUUAUAUUAAUCUCGGGUUUAACUUUUAGACAAUCUCUCUUCCUUAAUCUUUUAUACAAAAAUAACUUCUUUUUAUAUCUCAUUGAGUCAAUCCUUACACAAAUUCUCCUUUUCUUUUUGAAAUUCAUUGAAAACUUCCUUUACAUCAACUCAAGUAGCACAGGUGGAAACAAGCAUUACAAAUUUGGGGAAAUUUUUAUACGAUUCAAACCCUAAAUUUGAUGUUCACAGACUUAAAAUCCAUAUGGAAUCUUACCACUGCAUUAGUAUUUUAUUCAGAACACUGUUAUAUUAUUGAUAAAAUUAUAACCUUGAUACAAACAAUCAACAAUAAAAUCUGGUGAUAAAUCUAAUUAACUUUCAAAAUAUUAUCCAAGUUAAAGCCUGCAGGCUUAAAUCAAUAUUCAUUUUCAUUAUUAUAUUAUAUUUUUGAGUGAUUGUUUAAUACAUAAGCGAUAAAAUAAAAAUUUUUAACUUCUCAACCGGUGUGUAGAUCUUGCUACAUGUCAUAUUCACUUAUUUAUUACUUUUUUAACUACAAUUUAAGGACACAUUCUUUCAUAAAAGAAAAAAAAUUAAAGACAUGACAAUACCUCAACUUCACUUGUGGAGUUAAAGAUUUCCAUCCCUGUUAGUAUAUCAAAUAAUUAUUUGUAUAUUUUCAAUUAUAGAUGUCUAUAUAUAAUUUGGUUUCAAUUCCUCUAUUAUGAUUAAAUAUUAUUAUUAAUCCUUAUACUUUAUUUGACAUAAAUGUCAUUAAUUAGUCUGAAUAGUCAUUAAUUAUUCUUGUUAAAUUGUUGGUGUUGAUAUUUUUUCUUAAAAACAUUGUUAAACCAAGGCUGUCCAAGACUGAUGUUUCGACUCUUGUUCAAACACUUAUUCAGACAAGACCUUAGGACAACCGAAGUGAUGUGAGAUGUUGACAUUUUUUAUUUGGGCCUUCUAAUAGGAUUUUACCAUAAGCAAAUGGAUCCAAAGAUGUAUUUGUUUCGUCUCAACCUUGUGGAUCGAAAUUGAUGGCUUAAAGAAGAGCCGAUCGACUUGCUUACUGGAUAAGGCUUAUCUUAUCUUUUAGCCUUGGUGAUUUAUGUGUUGAUUUUACUUGAUUUAUUGGGCUCUAUCUUGGGAUAAGUUUUGGAGUUUACUUAUUUAGGAUCAUUAUGCUACUAAGGAUGCAUUUAUCUCUACAAAAUAUAAUCAGGAAGGUUGCCUCAUUUGGCCAUGAAUAGACAACUUAUUCGCAUGAAUGGAUGCAUCUUUUGGAAGUGCUUGUAACAACCUGAUUUUAAGUGGUGUCAGAAAAUGCAGUUUCAGAACUUCAUUUCUGUAAAUUGAGUUUGCGAGGAUGAAAUAUAAAGAUUAAUGAAGUUGUGAUGAAAAAAAAUUGAAGAUUGAUUAAGUAAUUUAACAGAGAAAAUAGUUAAUUAAAGCUCAAAGACUAAAUUAUAAAAGUCCAAUCGCUAUCAAGUUUUAAUUUAAAAAAUACUUGAUUACCUAGUUAGAAAUAAUCCAAAGACAGAGGAUGCCACGACACACCCCUGAAGCUGAGCUUGAGCCAAGCAAUCUGACUUUAAUGUCACAACAUAGAGAGCAAUGGAUGUCGCGACACCAGCCUUGUACGUAAAGCAUUAACGAGUUGAGGGCAUUUUGGUUCGCACAAUGAAAUUUAAUGUAAAAACGUCAGCCGAACUAGGGCUAGGGACGAGACCAACCCUAAUAUUAUAAAUAGGGUUGAUCAAACACUUGAAAAACAUCUUUUUUGUAACUUAGAAUUUUCUUUUCAAUUUAGUUCUCAGUUUUGAGUUUCUUUUGUACUUAGGAUUUCUUUUCAGUUUAUUUUUGUUAUGCAAAGAAUCUGACUUGUGUAUUCAACAAACUAUUUGAGGAUUUCUGCACUUUAAUCGUUCGAAUACAAAUAAGGAUUUCCCUUCACUUUUACUCUUGAUCUAUUUCUUAUGUUUACUUUAUUCAUCAAGUUUAUAUUAUUUAUGGGAUCCAUGACGAACUAAUCCUCUUAUGGGGGAUUAGCGAGUGGACGUGGGAUUAAUUAAUUUCUAUGUAGGGUUUCUUAGUGGAUCAACUAUUUGGGAUAGGAAGAACUUAAACCUUAGGCCUAACAACCCUAGGAAGUCAUCUAGGUGGGAAUUAACCCAAAAUUGGUAUUGCCUAUUUAUAAACCCCUUACCCUAAUUCAAUCUAGACUGUGAGGUCGAGAGAUAAGUAGUUCUUGUCGACUCGUUAGUUUAGUGGAAGAUCUAAAAAUCCUGCUAGGUUAAUGACCAGUUGGUUGAGUAGAACCCGGAAUAAGAAUUAGUUAUGACCACCGAAGCGAGUUAGUCUCCCAUGCUUAGAUUUGAUUGACUCAUAUAUUAGUUCUCCAGUUUAUUAGUUUAUGCAAGUUUAUUUCUUUUAUUAUAAAAACAAAUAUUUUUUCACUUUAUGAUCAUCUAACUAUAAUUUAUUUAAAUUACUAAUUAGAUCUAUUUACGUUUAAGUUAAUUUUAAUUUAGUACUUGCCUCCCUUAGUUACGAUCCUCGGAGCACUUACCUAUUCCGUUGUAAAACUAUAUUACAACCUGACCUGUAUACUUGCGAAUACCGCCUCAACUCCAUAUUUUUAGUAGCAGUGUCAUACUCUCUAAGUUAGUGCAUCGAGAGGCUGUUAAUGCCAUUACCGGGGAUUGCAAUGGUGUAUAUGUGUAGUUAAGUGAGUUACUUUUGAUGCAAUAUUUGUUGAAAGACAGGGAAAUUAAAUAGUGCUUUUAUUUUAUUUCAAUUUAUAGCAUUUUACUUUGUGUUUUUAUUUUAAUUUGCCUUGUUAAAGGUUUAGCUUAAUCUGUUUAAUAACAAUGGAUAUAGGUGGUUCAGAGCCCAAUAUAACUAUGGAGAUUAAUUGUGUUCAGCAAAUGGAGAUUCAACGAACCAUUUGUGAAAUAACCCGUUUUUAGUAAAAUUAGAACAGUGGUUUCGAGACCAUAAUCCGAAGUGAGAAUAUUUAUUUUAAUAUUAUUUUAAUAUCUACAGUAUGUUAGCAAGGUCCUAUAAAAAUUUCAUUAAGAAAUUUUAUCGUUUGCAUGUUUAACUUGGUAAAAAGGACUAAAUAAUAAAAGGUGCAAAAUUAGAGUUCAAUAAGUUAAAGGUACUAAUUGACUAUGAGGGAUUUAUGUGGUAAAUAUACCAUUGUUAUUAUGGGUGGACAAAUAUGAACAUUAAAUAUGUGAUUUCAAAGGUUAAUUACUAAAGUUAAAUUAGUAAUUUAAAAACUAAAGGUUAGUAAAUUAGUGAAAAACAAAGCCAUCGUCUUUGUUGUCCAUCUUCCACUGAAUUUUAACCUAAGAAACACCAUUUUUAACAUCUCAAGCAUUUGGUCAUCUCUUCCUCUUGCAUAUAAGUAUUUUUCAUCCUGUUUUUAAUGAUUUCCAUGUUUUUCGAGUCAUUGUAACUCAACCUAGCUAGCCCAUGAACUAAUUUGCAAAACUGUUAAAAGGUUAGGGUUUUUCCAUGAAUGUGCUCAUGUGAUUUUUGAUGUUUGAUGGAAGAAAAUGAAUCUUUGUUGAUAGAUAAACAACUUUUGUAAAGUGAAUUUUGUUGAAAAUGUCAAAUAGGGAUUUAUUUGUAAAAUGUGUAAAAUAAAUGGUGAAAAUUAUGAAAUAAUGAAUUGUAUGAGUUGAUAUGGACCUAUAUGAAAUUCGGCUAGCUUGGGUAGGGGUGAAAUUGCAGGAAUUUCAAAUUACGAGCUUAAGGACUAAAUUGUAAUGAAAUCAAAAUAAUAGGGGAAAAAUCAUAAUUUUGUAAAAAUAUGAAUUUGGAUUAAAUUGAAUAGAAUGGUUAUUAAAUAUAUUAAAUUUAUUUAUUUAGAUCAAGAUUGACCUCGUACGACUUUAGAUCGGGGUAAAAAAAAGCUUUGGAUUAGUCGACUCCAUUUCUACGCCUUUAUCGUCGAGGUAAGUUCGUGUAAUUAUGUAAUGUUUUAAUGUUAUCUUUUGAGCUAUAUGUAAAUUAUGGAUUGUUAUCUAAAUGAUCAAUGCAAAUCCAACGAUGUUACGACGUUUAUCAAGCCCUGUCUGAACCUUAGAAAUUCGUAGGAUACAAAUGACAUUUUAUUAGGGUUUUCAUGUUUCGGGUGCUGGUCUUGAAUAUCCUACCGAUGGCUAAGGUCCAGCAUGUGUUGUGGAUACUCCACAGCUUGUGUAAGCGGCAUUGUGUAGCUUACAUUCCAGCCCACAGCUCGUGUGAGCAGACCCAUUUCACAGCUCAUGUUAGCAUACUUAUUUCACAGCUUGUAUGAGCAACUAUGUUUAUGAAAGGAAAUUUUACGAUUAUAUGAUUAGCACACUUUGUGUGAGCUAUCCCGCGUAUUUGAUGUUAUUCUAAACGGUUCAAUGGGUAUGAGGUUGAAAGAAAAUAGUAAAUGUUCAAUAUGAACCAAGGUACGUGUGUAUAAAAUACAUUGAAAUGUUAAGCUACAUGGAAUCAUGUUAUGUUAUGAUAGAUGAUAAAUCCAAUUGAAUCAUGCUCAAGUACAAUUGUUAUCCAUGUUAAAUUCACAUGAAUUAUGUGCAAGUAUGCUAACAUGUUUGUAUUGGUGCUUAGGCUUGUGCCAAGCUAAAGGUUGGAUUAUACCAUGUUAAAUUUUAAUGUUAUGAAAUAAAAUGGUAAGUUGUAUUUUAUGUUAUAUAAACUUACAAAGCAUUAUAUGCUUACAUUGUCUCCUUUCCCAUGUUUUAUAGAUAAUCGAAAGCUCGUUCAGUUUGGAAGCUCGUUAACCUAUCACACUAUCCAACGACUAUAUCAAUAGAUUUUGAUGUUUUAAGUCAUGGUUAUAAUGGCAUGUAUAGGUGAAUUAUGUUUGAUGAUUUAGUUGUUAUGAUUGGCAUGUAAAUAUGUGGUUACAUGGUUGAUGACAUUUUGGCAUUUUUGUGCUUUGAUGGCUAAUGUUGACAUGGUUAAGUGAUGAUAUGUUUUGAAUGACCAAAUUGGUAUGUUUAAAUGUGUUUGGCAUAUGGUUAAUUGUGCUAUGGCUUGGCAUGAAAAUAGGUAGUGCUGUGCAGUUGAUUUAUGCCAAAUGUGUUUAUGUUUUUGUUGAUUUGAUGAUUUUUGAUUGAGGUGCCUUUCGGCAUAUUGGUUGUAUGGAUAGAUACCAUAUUGAAUUAGCCUAUCAUGCAUGUUUUAGGUAUGUUUUAAAGCUUGAUUUUAUGUGCAAAUAGAUUGUAGGUGUGAGCUUGAUUUGGGUGAAAUAAAUGGCUUGAAAAUGGCCUUUUUCUUGUCCAUACGGCCUAAGACACGCACGUGUGUCUCAGUCGUGUGUGACACAUAGCCAUGUGACACGACCGUGUGUCCCCUGUAGGUUUCAAAGGGUUGCAAGUCAGGCAGUUACACGGCCUGGCACAUGAGCAUGUGGCUUGGCCAUGUGACCUAAGUCAGAAAGUUAUAUGGGUACAGACACGAGCUGGGAUAGGGCCGUGUGUCCCUGCUUCGAAUGUCCACACGACCUAAGACACGGGCAUGUGUUUCAACCGUGUGAGUCACACGGCCUGGCCACAUGGCCUUGUUACCCCUGUAGUGUGAAUUUUUCUAUCUUUUUCCAUGAAUUUUUAAAUGUUUUUGGUUCAGUCCUGAAUCGUUUCUAAAGUGUUUCUAGGGCCUCGAGGGCUCGAAUAAGGGACGAUAUGCAUGUGUUUGAAUGAGUUUAAAUGUGAUUUAUGAAAUGUAUGGAAAUAAUUGUUUUUAAGUUACGUUUUUGUGGUAAUGCUCCGUAACCUUAUUCCGACGAUGAAUAUGGGUUAGGGAUGUUACAAUUUGAGUUAUUAUCGUGAUCAUGGAUGACACGAGUACUCGUAUGAUCAUCCUCAUGGGUCGUACGAGUAUGUAGAUUGUGCGAAUAGUUACAACCUUGAAUGGUCGGCUAGUUAUCCAAAGCAAGAUUCGUACUUUCCAUAUUAUUAUUUGGAUUGUAAGAUGGAGAGUGAUGAGCACAUGGAAGAUCCAUCCCUUGCUACUUAAGUUGGAAUGUGGAGGAAAGCAUGCAUGCGUUGCAAGUUGAUGUAAGUCAAAUCCUUGGUCGAUUGGACCAAUUUUUCAGUCUAACUCCCAUCUACACAAAAGUUAAACCUACAAAAUCCUAAAUUUAAACAUGCAACAAGUUUAAAACCUAAACUAAACAAAAGUAGAGUCUCAACUCAAAUAAGUUAGUUAUUUAUAAAAUAAGUUAAAAUUUAAAAUCGCUACCCGGUGAUAUGUCAUGCCCCCGAAGUGGAACUUCCACGAAGUCCUAGAUGCUUUGGCCCCUUGCUUGUUCAUUGAUUGCCACCAAAUGUGUGAACGUUUGGACUGAAAUAAUACAGUAAAAGAGAUAAAUAAUUAGACAAUGAUGUUCGCAAGUAAACGAGUCAAAUUGUAAUAUAGAAGAAUGUUAAAACAAAAUACUUCAGAAAGUAUUUCGAGGAUUGUACCCGAGGGAGAUUGAAUUAAACCUAAAUUAACUCUCUACACUAAUAGGGCUAAAUAGUACCGUUUUAAAAUUAUAUUAUGAAAAAUCAAAGUAACAUCAAUUAAUCAAAUUAACCUAAAAUUUAUUUAAACUAAAAACAAACCAAUUAACAAUUGAAAUUAAUCCAAAAAAACAAACCUAGAAUUUGAGCUGUAUCGAGUUAGCUAUUAAUUAACCAAUUAUUACUUCUCGGCCUCUAACUGAUUAACUAAUAGACUAAUACAUGCCUGCCUCUCGGCCUCACUUUCUUGACUGGAUAAAUUAUGAGGUACUCAGUAAACUUAUCUCGUAAUCUUUUUUAUCCUAAAUUACUUGGGGCGUCACUUCCUAAGGUUUGAUCGCACAUAAUUUAAGCCAACUAACCCGAAUUUAAAAUCUUAUUCAUCCGUUAAUUAUUCACACAUUCGUUUGUUAAUCUCCCUUAGGAAGUUAGAUACUCAUGGAUCUAAAUGAAAUAAUCCCUAAACUCAUAUUUAACAUGCAAAAUAGAAAAUUAAAUAAAAGUAGGGAGUAGAGAAAUAAUUCCAUUUUGAUAUCAAGUUGUGCUCAGAAGUGAAAUCUCCUUUAAUAGUUACGAAGACCACUUCGAUUGCAAUUGGAAUCAACAACGAAAUAAUGAAAAACUAUUAUAUUAAAACCUUGGAUCAAAAUUAAAUCCAAGUUAAAACAAGAACAAAAGAAUGUAAAGGACUAAAUUGAAACGAAAAGAAAAACUAAAGUAAAACCCUAACUAAACGGCUCACUUGGCCAAGCUUCUUUAAAUGAGACUUAACAUGCCUAUUUAUAAAAUUUAUGAUUAGAUCUAAUUAGGGUUACUAAACAUCCUAAAAAUUUGAUUAAGUUACAUUGUAUGGACUAAAAUACCUUUAAUUAAAAUUUCAUCUUGUAACUCGAUGUCUCGACACCACAGGACUAGUGUUGUGACACAGCCUUCAAAUUCUGGGUUUUUGGCUUCAACGUUUGGUGUUGCGACACCAUCCCCCAUUUUUGUGAUGUUGCAGUUGUCUUUUGUCUUUUAAACUCAAAAUAAUGUCUUUUACACUAGUUAGAGCCGUUAGAUCAUCCGUAGGCCCAAAGUGGCCCAUUAGGUCAUUACAUAACUCAAAAUUAUGUAAAAACACUUAUUUUGCAUAAUUUAAACAUAUUAUAAUAUGCUAUGAAACAAGCUCGUUAAGUGCUAGAAAUUCUUUAAUUUGCCACAAUGAAUUGUGGCAGAUCAUUCAUCAUCGGGUUUGUAACCACUUAAACCCAGCUUAGACGUUAUGACCAAAUCUCGAAGAUCACUUUGGCCAUGAUGAUGGAGCAAAAAUCAUUUAACUAUUUUCUUUCAAAAAUUGUUUUCUCUUAAGUUUUGAAAUUAGCGUAUUGAUUUGCUUGAGAAAAUAAAAAGUAAUCUCUCUAAACUUCUUUGGAAAGAUAAUAUCGAAUAAUUUUGAAAAGUCCAAGUUUGAGCAUUUCAAGAAAACAUUUUUAAAUUUGAAAAUGUCACAGCGGAUAAUUUACAAAAAACAUAUUGAUUGGUUUAAAAUCGUUAUUUGAUAUAUUUCAUUUGAUUAAUCUUGAGUUUGAAAUAUAAUCAUUGAGUCGAGAUUGUUAUUAUGUUGAAAAAUCCAGUUUCUCAUUACAAAUUGAUAAACCAUUUUAAAUAAUUGUUUUAAAACCAAAUCAUGCAAAGGUAUCCAAAAAUCCAGAAUCCAAAUCAAUGUCCCAUGCCAUAGUUUGCAAAUAAUAAAUAAAUAGCCCUAAAAUAUCGAAUCAUAGUGUAAAAAUUUAUACGUAAAAUAUUUGAGUACUCCUUCAUAAGUUGAGUUCAUGUCCUAACCUUGAGUAUUAUCUGAAAAGUCAUAAAUUUAAAGGAGUGAGCUUUUAAAGCCCGGUGUGAGGCUUACUUAAAAUAUAACAGUGAAUAAAUCACAUAAUUUAGAAAGAUAAUAAGAAGUACACAAAAAGUAAAUUUCACAUAUAUCGAUAAGUAUGGCAAUGUAAUUGUAGAAAUUUUCAGAAGUCAAUGCGUGGUUUUUAAAAAGCUUUCCUACCCAACUCUGCUACACACCAUAAAAGAGUUCUCCUAGAACUCAUUCAUCCAUUAACACACCAAUAUUGUAGGCUAGCCACCAGAUAAUGCAGACAAGUUGGCAGAUACAGAUUAUUGUGGACAAACCACCUGAAUUAUAGAUAUACUGCCAUAUAAUAUGGUUAAACCACCAGAAUAUGCAGAUUGUUAAACUGCUAGAAUCUUCUUUCAUACAAUAUUUUCUCAACCCCAUGCAUGGGAUAUGACAUUCAGAACAAAAUUUCAGUAGGCAUGUUUUACAUGCAAAUCAGAUUUCAUUACGAAUUAACAUAGUAGGCAUGUUUGACAUGUGAUUCAUAAUCUUUUUAUAAAAAAAAAUAACAAUAUAUAUGUAUAUAUAUUUUCCAUGCAAAACAGAAUAUCGCCAUUCAACCACAUGUCAUAACCACAUGUCAUAAGUGUUGGAAAAGUAAUAAAUAUAAUAUCUCAUGCACCAAAAUUCACAUAAUAAUUACAUAAUGACACAAAAUUAAAUAGUAAAGAAUUAUUUGAUGUAUAACUAGGUCAAUGGUUAUAUCAAACUUUCCUUUUCUGAAUACAUAAUGUAUUCGCGAUUAACCAUAUUUUUAGGGUCUCAUUAAUAAUAAUCAACAUUAUUAUUCGCUCACAAUUAUUAACCAUUAACCAUUAUGUAGUAAUAGAAUAGACCUACACCUUGAUUAGUAAUUUCUGACAACACCGAUUCCGAUUCCCAACUCCAAGGAAAGAGAUCCGGCCUUGAAUCCCUUUUGAUUAGAUAAAAUCAAUCACCAUGCCUGUAACCUCCCUAACCCAGUGCAACCUCCCUAACCCAGCAUAGACAUUAUGGCUAGAUUGAUAAGGCUACAUUAGCCACAAAAAUGGCUAAGUUAAUUUACGUUACUUUUGAAGUCUUUAAAUAAAUGUAUUUUAGAGAAAAAUCGAAGCUGUACUUUGAAUUAGUUAAAAAGUAAUUGUUUAUUAGAUCAUCCAUACUUAAGAUUCAUUUUAUUGUUGAUAGUGUUCUUUUAUAAAAACCGUUUGCUUGUCGCUUUUCUUUGUCAAAACUCGAUGUUAAACUAAUGCAGCGAAAAUACCAUUUUUCAAGUCAUUUUGUAAACUUAGUUACCUUAUCGAUUUGUUUUUCAAAAACGGUUCCUUUGUAUUGAUAGGAAACUAGGGAACAAUAUCAAAUUUUACUUAAGCCUAAUAUCAUGCAUUAUUCGGUUAUUAUGCUUGAGUAAUCCUGCAUGCAAAAAUCUCAGAAGAAAAGUUACCAAGCCAUAAACCAGAAGUCAUUAAAAAUACAAACCAAAACCAAUAGAGACUGAUUAAUACUUAUUGAAAAUAGUCUGAGGUCCAAGGUGAUUCUCCGAAUGCUGAGUCUAGUCCUAAUUUCGAGAUUUACCUGAAUAGUUAAACACUAUUGGGGGUGAGCUUAUGAAAAGCUCAAUGUGAGUCGAACAAUUAUUUAAAAAAACAUAAAUAUCGAAUACAGUGAAACAAAUUAACUUUAACAGAAGAAAACAAAAUCAUCGUAGGAAUUUCAUAUCAUUACAUAGGCAUUAUCAAAUUGAUGUCAAACGGUGUAUAAGCAUGGGACAUCAUUCAUUUGAGUAAUAAUCAUUAAUUUCGAUACCAUUCAAUGCAACACAAUACAACACGUAUUAUAAAUCAAUAACAUUUGAAUAUGUCUUGAGCAUGAUGCAAUGCACAAAGGUUCCUACCCAUACCAUUUGCUACACACCAUGAGUUCCUUAGAUCUUGUCAUCCGAACUCCAAAACAUUAUGGGCUUAAGCCCGUUGUGGUUAAAACCACCGAUAAUAAUAUGCUAAAAAUUCUACUAGUAAAAAUGUAGACAAGCUACCAGUUAAAAUGUGAUAAAUCACCGUUCCCCUCAGUACUUCAGGUGCAGUGCACUGACUACGAAUAAUGCGGACUUAAUAUGCCACCAGUACUCUGUGAAACUCCUCCGUCAACCACAAAAUCCCAACCCAAUACAUAUGCAAUAUGUCAUACAAUCUCAUACAUAAUCAUAUCUUAAUACUUUUCACAUUCAUUUUACUUUCUCAACAUGUCCUCAAUAAUCACAUACUUUCAGGAAAUGGAAAUAGUGUUCUAAUCUUUCAAAUUACCGUUAUAUUGGUAUCAAUUAAUAUCAUUCAAUUUUACAUACUUUACUAAUUUUCAUUUUGCAUAAAUAUCACCCUUUUGAGUACACAAUAUAAAAAAUAUCCCAUGCAUUUAAAUCAUACAUAAGCUUAAUAUCUCAACACAUUAUAUCAUUCAGUCAAACAUUCUCAUAUCUCAUAACUCAAAUAUGCAAUUACAAACUCAAUCAGACAUUCAUACUAUCAAACUAGCAAUUUUGCCAACAUGUCAAUCUUUUAAGGCUCGAAACAUACCUGGUUCGGCCACUCAAAAAAUCAAUAAUUUGACUAUUAAGCCAAUCCAAUUAGCAAGCUAAUUUAUCACAUAUAACAUGAUAUUUAACAUUUUCAAACAAUUUUUUGAGUUUAGGAUCCACACCUUAUUUUUUGUUUCAUCGCAGCACAGUAGCGAAUCUUCCAAUUUUCCUUAAUAAUUCCUUAAACGAACUUAAACCAAAAUUAAGUAUAAAUUAAAUCAAUUUACCAUUAAAACAGCCCCAAACACCCACUUAUGAUUUCAAACCAAUUGUUGAAAUUAUAACUAUUUUAUGAAUCCAAACUAGCUAGAUUCCUUACAUUGUAUUGAUGCGAAUCGUACGCACAAUCGUUCUUAGCCUUUACGGAUGAUUUGGGGAGUUUGGGUCAGCUCCUAAUUUAAUAAUAUACUGGAAAAUAAGUAGAUAAUUAAUGAUUAAAUUCCUUUACCCAACAACUAUGUUGAAAUAACAAACUGGUUAUCCUUAAUUGCACUUACGUUUCAUGAUUUGUGGGAUUCGCUUGGCUAAUUGAUCAAGAACGUCUCUCCCUAAUUAAAAUAUGAUUAAAGGAUGAUUAGGAGGAUUCAAGGACACAAUUUAAUGCUAGAAAAAUAUGGGCAAGACACAAGAAACAAAACAACCCCCUUUCUUGCACAUAGGCACACGCACCACCACCCAUGGUGGCGAAAAUUGGGGUUGAAUUUUAAAAUAAUUUACAAUCCCCCAAAUUCCAUAUCUGAAAUGUAACACCCCACACUCAUGCCCCAUGCCGGGUCAGAAUAUGAGGCAUUACUUAACUUAAACUUAUGCAUAUAGACAUUUUCAUAACAUCAAAACAUGGUCAAACUAAAAUUUUUUCAAUUUUAUUUAUAAACUCCUUAAUAAGAGCCUAUUAAGCAGAAAACAUCCAUUGAAACCCAUUCAGAAAUAAUCUGAUUCCUUUAAAGAACUCUGAAAAUAACUAUUAACACAGGGGCACACGCUCGUGUGAGAGGGGCAACAUGCUCGUGUGACAUUUCAACAUGGUCGUGCUAUUGGCUUGUGUGGCUCACACUGCCUAAGCAAUACAGGGACACGUCUGUGUCCUAUAUCUGUGUGGAGUUAAUACUAAAUGCACACCUACAGGGGUUUUCACAUGGCCUGGAACAUGCCUGUGUCUCCAACCCGUGUCCUUCACACGGCCAUGACACGCUCGUGUCCAAAAACUUGGACAUUCUAUUUCUGACAUCAACAAUCCUUAAGGGCCACACAGCCAAGGCACACGCCCAUGUGCUAGGCUAUGCCGUUCACACAGCUGAGACAUACGGUCGUGUCUCUGCCCGUGUGUUUACUACCAUGCAUACUGACUUACAAUUCUUAUGUGCAGGGGACUCAUGGCCAUAUCACACGCCCUUGUGGUGAACCGUGAGUCACACACGACCUAGACACACACCCAUGUGCCUACCCGUGUGGACUAAAUAAGGCUAUUUACCAAGCCUUUUUGUCACCCUUACUUAUGUAACCUGCACAAAAAUCACUCUAUACUCACAUAAGGGCACAUCACAUAUCCAAAAUAACCACAAUGGACAACAGUUCAUUUAUGCAAUUUACUCAUCCAUGAAAAUAUCAUCUUCUAAUUAUAAAUCAAAAUGAGUAUUGACCAUCAUCCAUGGCCUUAUACAAAAUGAGUAUCAUAUUCAUCAUAUGAGCCAACACAUAAUGGCUAACUAACAAAACACUAAACAAAGACUCGAGUCCCUAUACAUGCUAGAAAACAAAACAAUGAAACUAGCUAUACCAAGGUCUUGAGUGACAGUGUGAUCGAAGCUUUUGAUGUAUCUGGAUCCCCAAUGCUAGCUUGGCGGCACUAUAAGGGAAGAAAAGAAAGGAGGGUAAGCGUGGGAGCUUAGUAAGUACAUAUAUGCAAAUAAAGUGUAAUUAUAAGAAAAUCAUAUUCAUCCAAUGGUAGCUUGUCAUGCUCAAAAGAUAUAAAUUACUUAACGUUUCUAUCUUACUCUUCUUUUCAUUCAUGUAUACUUAAUACACCUAGUUCUUUACUCGGGUCCUAACCAUGAGUUCGGUAUACAUACCUCAUCAAAGUAUUCACCAACUAAAUCUUUGGGUUACUUGUUGAACUCUCAAAAUACAUAUGGAUACGUGAGGACUUUGUGUCUAAAUGCCUUAUAAGAAAUCAGGGCUACCUCAUGCUAUGAAACACUCACAUUUGAGCUACUCACGGGCCUUUUUAUCAAGUCAGGACCUGGACCCCAUAGCUAUCAUGUAACGUAUGCUUAUUGAACCACUCACGGGUCUGUACACAAAGUUAGUACCCGGACCCACGUUACCUAUAACAUUUAUCUCAUGAACUCAGACUCAACUCAUGAGUUCAGACUACAUAAUUUUCAUAAUAUGCCCCUUUGUAUCCUAUGCUAUGUCUAAGGUUCAGCGGGGCUUCAUAUCUAAUCGAAUAGCAUCACAUUUGCUCACACUGUAAUUUACUCGCAUAACAUGUCAUUUAAACAUUCAUGGCAACAAUUAGAAUUUAAAUAUAACAAAAAUAAGCUAAUUACACAUGUAUAUUAUCAAAAUAUACCAAAGUAAGCUUCAAUAACACAUUAUUUACAUAUGUACUUACCUCGAUACAAAAUGAUGAAGACGAGCUUAAUCCUCGUAAACUUUGUUCUUACCCCGAUCAAGACUCGAAUCACGUUUCUCUUGAUCUAAAUUAAUAAAAUUCAUUUAUUUCAUCAGCAUAUCAAUUUAUACACCCAAAAGUUCAUAAUUGGGCAAAAUGACUAUUUUGCCUCUAGAUUUUCAAAAAAUGACUAUUUUACCCUUAUGCUUGAAAAUCAAUUUUUAUCAAAUUUCUUCAUAUUAUAAACCUAGAUGAUUACUUUAUAUACUAGAAUCAAUCCAAAAUUUCCAUUAUUUCACACAUUUAUUAUCUAUUUUAUAACUCAUGCAAAAUAGUCCCUAUUAGGGUUUUCAUGAGAAAUCCCUUCACAAAAGUUGUUUAUUACUCUCCAAAGGAUCAUAUUCUUCCAUAAAAAUUUAGAAAAAAGCCUAAAUGCUCUCAUGGAAAAACCCUAGGCCUACAACCAUUUUGCAAAAUAGUUCCCUCAUUUAAAAGCUCUUGCUUCAAGGGGUCUAAAAAUGUAAAAAUCAUCAAGAAAAUUCAUGAAAACCACUUACUUGUGAAGGCUUAAAGUUUCUAAAAUUUUCAAGCUUGAAAAACCCCUCUAAUGGAAAAUUUUUUAGUGGAAGAAGAAAGAGAGAAAAAUAAAUGACACAUUCUUGUUGUUUAUUUUAUUCGAGCUAAACAAAAUUGGUGAGCAAACACCACCUAAUUUUGACUUUCCCAUCAAUUUAUCCCCUAUGGCCGACCAACCUAAGAAUUAGAGGGGUCUAAUUACUCUUUAAGGCCCCCAAAUUAGGUUCUUUAGCUAAUUGACACUCUUAUCUAGCAAAAUAGGACUUUUGCACUUUAUGUGAUUUAGUCCUUUUUCAUAAUUAGGGAAGCAAUCGCUAAAAUUAAUUCACCAAAAUUUUCAUGUACUUAUCUAAUCAUGCUACAAUACAUAAAAUGAUAUUUAAAAUAAUUUAUAAGACCUCGGUUUAGUGGUUUCAAAAUAACUAUUCUGACUAGCCCCAAAAUCGGGCUGUUACAUGGAAAUUUUGGUUUUUAAUUGACAAGAUUAAUAAAAAAUUAAAGCAAAAAGAGAUCUUACCAAAGCUAAUUAAGAGAAAUGGCAAUGGUACUUUCGUGGCAAUGUUCGAGAUCGAUUUUAGGGUUAAGAUUUUAGAUUUAGGGCUGAUUUAGAUAAGGAUAAAUGGCAGCAAUAUAAUAAAGAAGAUGGUGCACAGUCUUGGUGCAAGAAGAAGAAGAAAGCGAUGAUAAAAUAGAAGGUGUUGUAACAGGUCGUUUUCAGUAAAAUCAAAACAGUAAUUUCAGGACAAAAAAUUUGACGAGAAAAUAUUUAUUUUAUUACUAUUUUAAUGUUUAUAGGACUAUAUUAUGGCCGUGUUAAAAUUUCAUUAAGAAGUUUUGACUUUUGCAUGUUUAAUUAUGUGAAAAAGACUAAAUCAUAAAAAGUGCAAAAGUAGAGUUCUAUUAGUUAAAAGGGUUUAAAGGCUAUAGAAAUGAAAAUAAAUGGACUUAAAUGGUAAUUAUACCAUUUGAAUAGUUAGUGGACGUUAGUGGGCAUAAAUUAAGUGAUUUUAAGUUAAAAAUGUAAGGUUAAUUUGUUAAUUUAAUAAGUAAACUAAAAGUAAAAUAAGGUAAAAGAUGGUAUCACCUUCUUAGUUGAGAAUCGCCACAAAAUUAAAUAACAAAAACAUCAUUUUUAGGUUUGGAGCAUUCAGCCAAGUUGUUUUGCUUACAUGUAAGUGAUUUUCAUCCUGUUUUAAUGAUUUCUAUGUUUUUGAAGUCGUUAUAGCUUAAUCUAGCUAGCUAGGGAUUAAUUUGCAAAAUUGUUUAAGGUUUAUGAUUUUUCCAUGAAUUUUAUUUUAUUACUCUUGAUGUUUUAUGAAAUAUUAUGAGUCCUUGUUGAUAAAUAAACAAGUUUUGUAAAGGGAUUUUUGAUGAAAAUGUCAAUUAGGGACUUAUUCGUAAAAGUAUUAAAAGUAUAUGAUGAAAUUGUGAAAUAAUGAUUUGUAUGAGUUGAUAUUGGUUGCUAUUAAAUUUGGCUAGCAUGAGAUAGAGAUGAAAAUGUUUAAAUUUCAAUUUAUGAGCUUAAGGACUAAAUUGUAAAAAAAUUAAAAUGUUAGGGUAAAAAUGGUAAUUUUUAAAAAAUAUGAAAUAUGAACUGAAUUGAUUGAUAGAAGAAUUAAAUUUAUUUAAUUUUUCUGUUUAGAUCAAGAUAGACCAUGUACGAAUCUAGAUCGAGGAAAAGCUAAAGCCUAAGAUUAGUUGAUCUCGUUUUCACGUCUUAGUUAUCAAGGUAAGUUCGUAUGAUUAAAUAUAAUUUUAAUGUUAUUUUGAUUCAUAUGUUAGUAUGUUAAGUGCCAUGUAACUAAAUGAUGAUAUCCAAUGAUGUCAUGAUGGUUAUUGAGCCUUGUUUGAACCUUAGGAAUUCGUAGGGUACAAAUAACAUGUCAUUAGGGUUUUCAUGUUUCAGGUGCUGGUCUUGAAUGUCCUCUAUAGCUGAGUUCCUGCAUUUGUUGCAGAUACUCUACAGCUCGUGUGAGCAGCAUCGUGUAGCUUACAUUCUGACCCACAGCUCGUUUGAGCAAUGAUGUAAAGGAAAGGAAAUGUUACGGUUAUAUGUUUAACACACUUCGUAUGAGCUAUCCCAUGGAUCUGAUGAUAUUCUAAACUAUUCAACAGGCAUGAAAAGGAAAGGAAAGGUAUGUGUUCAAAUGAACUGUCAUGAAGUUAUGAAAAGGAUUGAAAUCGAAAGUUUAAAUGAUAGUAUGUUAUGUUCAUGAAAAUGAGGCAUUUAAAAGAAAUAUGUUCAUGUGCCAUUAGCUUACCCUAUGUGAAUUCAAGUGAAUUGUGUUUGAAUGAACUAACAUGUGUUGUUGAUAGUGCUUAGGCUUGUGCCAAGCUUCUGGUUGGAUUAUGCUAUGUUUAAUUUUGAUUUUAUGUAUUGAAAUGGUAAGUUUAUGUUCAUGUUUUACGAACUUACUGAGCAUUAUGCGCUUAUGUAGUUUUUCUUUCCUAUGUUUUAUAGAUAAUCGGAAGCUUGAUCGGUUUGGAAGCUCGUCAAAGAUCUAUCACACUAUCCAGUGAUUAUAUCAGUAGUUUUUGAUGUUUUGGCCAAGGUUAUAAUGGCAUGUAUAGUUGCAUUUUUGUUUGAUGUUUAGUUGAAUGCUUAGAUGUUGAUUUUGGUAUGUAUAAGUUGGUUGUUUUGGUACCAUUUUGAUGAUGGUUGAGUUGUUUAAAUUUGGUACAUGUGAUGCAUGAAUGGUAUGUCUCAAAUGGUAAGGUUAUGUUGAAGUGAUAUAGGUCAAUUUAUGAUAUGUUUUGACAUGGAAUUGAUCUAGAUGUUUAUGAAUGAAUUGUGGUCAAGUAUAUGUAUAUGUUUAGGUAAAUUUGUAUGUUUACAUUUGUGGUGCCUUGUAUGGCAUAUUGGUUGAAUGGAUUUGGUCUUUUGAAUUGGUCAUUUCAUGCAUGUUUGGUAAGGUUUUGAUGCUUUGAAUGUGUACACAAAAUGCUUUUAGGUACAUGCUUGAUUGGGUGAUAGAAAUGACUUGCUUUUGGCCAAUUUCAUGGCCAUACAGCCUGAGACACGGGCGUGUGAUUCAGCUAUGUGUGACACAUGGCUAUGCGACACGGCCAUGUGUCACCUACAGGUUUUAAUGCACACAAGUCAGGCAGUUACACGCUAACAGAUGGCCUGGUACAUGGGCGUGUGAGGCUAUUUUGAGAGUUACACAGCCUAGCACAUAGGCAUAUGGCUUGGCUCUGUGACCUAAUUCAAACAGUUACACGGCCAUGCGACAUGGCCGUGUGAACCCUACAGUUCAAAUUUUCUAACUUUUUCAUGUACUUUCCAAUUGAUUCCAAUUUAGUCCCGAAUUGUUUCUGAUGUGUUUUUAAGGCCUCAAGGGCUCGAUUUAGGGACGAUUUGUAUGAAUAAACGUCUUUAUGUCUUGAUUGUCAAUGUAUGAAAUGUAUGUUUUAAUGUUUCAUUUUUACGGUAAUACUCCAUAACCCUACUCCAGCGACGGAUACGAGUUAGGGUUGUUACAGGUGUAGGCGGUGAUAACAAUGAGAGAAAGAAAGAAAAUUGAAAAGAAAAGAUGAGAGGAAGAGGGUGAACGACUAGGGUAGGGAAAAAUUGAAUUAAAGGCUAAAAAAUACAAUAAAAAGUUGUAUUUAUACUUAGGGUUCAAGGGUAUGGAUGACAUAUACAUUAAGAAAUAAGGGAUUUUGCAAAAUUUAAUUAUUUCGCAAGGGAAAAGUGUAACACCCCUUACCCGAGUCCGAGACUGAAGCUGGGCACUAGGCAUUACCUGACUUAAACGCAUGCAUUCAAUCUUUUUUGAAAUGUAAAAACUAGGUCAAAUUAAAACUUUCCUUUCAUAGUUCGUUGAUUCCUAAUAUGGGCUUACGAGGCUCGAAUCAUACUUUGGAAACGGUUGGGAAUUAAUUCAAUCGCUUAUGAAAACUUUGGAAAAUAUCACUUGAAAUAGGGCACACGCCCGUGUGGAAGGGCAACACGCCCAUGUGGCCCUGUUGACCUGGCUGUGCCAAAGGCCCGUGUGGUUCACACGGCCUAAGCAUAAAGGAACACGCUUGUGUCCCAAGCCCGUGUGAAUUAAAUUCCAAAUUCGAACCUACAGGGGUUUUCACACGGCCUGACACAUGCUCGUGUCCGUGGCCCGUGUUCCUCACACAGUCAUGACACGCUCGUAUCUUUGCCCAUGUCUAAAAACCUUGACAUUCUGUUUCUGACGUUAGCAAAAAAGUAGGGGCACACGACCAAGGCACACGCCUGUGGCCAGAGACUGUGUCUUCCACAAGACUGAGACACACGGUCGUGUCUCUGCCCGUGUAUUUACUACCAUGCAUACUGACUUGCAAAUUUGAGGUGCAGGGGACACACGGUCGAACAACACGCCCAUGGUGCUGACCGUGUAUCACACACGGCCUAGACACACGCCGGUGUGUCUACCUAUGUGGACAAUAUAAGGUUAUCUACCAAGCCCCUUGCGACCCUGAAACACAAUCUAUCAUACCAACUCUAUCACAACAAGAUUUCUCAACCAAUCAACCAUAACUAAGGCCUAUAUACCUUUCAUACAUAUUCAACCAUGCCAACAAUUUCACAUUCACUAAAGGUUUUCUUGCAUUCACAUAAUAACUUUCAAUAUCGGCCAUUUUUCAUGGCCUUAUACAAAAUGAGUCAAGUAUUAAAUUAAGCCAACACGUUUGGCCAAUUAACAAUGACACAAAACUCAGAAAUCAAGAUCCUAUACAUUCCAUAAUCAAAACAAAAGAACUAACUAUACCGAGUGCUUCAAGUGAUAUUGUGACUGGCUUCUCCGACGUAGGCAAUGAUCCUCGAGCUACUUUGGCGGCACUAUAAGAAAAUGGAAAGGAAAUGGGGUAAGCAUAAAACUUAGUAAGUUGCAUAUAAAUAAACAUCAACUGAUUAUCAUACAUCAAUAUGCUCCUAAGAUUUCAUGGCUUGUUCAGGAAUACAAUAAAUAGACAUAAGCGUAACUUACUCAUCACCAUCCAAUACAAUUCAUAUAACAUAGAUUGAGCCCACAACUCAUGCAUUUCAAGUAGGUACUUGUACCACUCAUCAUAUGGUUAUAAUUUUUCUCAUUUUGACAUAAAUCCAUAAAUCUUCCGUUGAACCAUUUGGAAUACUACAGGAUAUUCAAUAGUCCCAAACAUGGGAUAAGAUGCCGAUGCCAUGUCCCAAACAUGGUCUUACACUGGCUAGCACAUUAAAGUCGAUGCCAUGUCCCAGACAAGUCUUACACUGACUUUCAUAUAUCGAGGCCGAUGCCAUGUCCCAGAUAGGUCUUACACUGGCUCUCCUUUAUCGGUCGAUGCCGUGUCCUAGACAGGUCUUACACUGACACAUAAUAAGCUGACGCCAUGUCCUAGACAGGUCUUACACUAGGUUGUAUAUCCCGAGGCUGAUGCAUCUCUUAGACAUGUCUUACACUAGCUCUCGUCUCAAUGCCGAUGCAUGUCCCAGACAUGUCUUACACUGGCUCUCAUGAUGUGGCCGAUGCAUGUCCCAGACAUGUCUUACACUAGCUCACAUACCACCCAGUGUCAUGGUAUGAAUAUCCAAGUCUAUUCCAAAUGUUCAAUCGGAAGUCUUUACUACAGUAAUUUCUCGACAUGUAUUCUCAUAAUCACAAUCAAACAAUUUAUGCAAUAUCAAUUCAUUCAUACAUCAUAGCAAUAUAGUUGCAUUAUUAACAUACAACUUACCUCGGAUUACAAAAUGUAGGCGGCUAGACGAUUUACUCUACUUGCUUGGCCUUCCCCCGGUCCAAGUCCGGUUUUCGUGUUUCUUGAUCUAAAAUAAUAAAAAUUCACUCAUUUAACCUCUAAAGAAAUUUAAGUAAUCAUAAGUUCACAUUUUUGGCAAAAUAACCAUUUUGCCCUUAGACUUUCACAAUUUACCCGUAGGCUUGAAAAUCGAUUUUUAUCAAAUAUCUUCAAAUAUUAAGCCUAGCUGAAACCAUUUUUACUUUUAUAGUGACCCAAAAUUCCCAUUGUUUCACAACAUUACUAUCCAUUUUACAAACUUUACAAAAUGGUCCUUUUAGGGUUUUCAUGAGAAGUUCUUUCACAAAAGUUGUUCACUACACAACUAAGAUUCAUUUUAUUCCAUAAAAACUCAGCAAACAUCAUAAAUCCUUUCAUGGAAAAAUCCUAUACUAUCAACUAUUUUGCAAAAUGGUCCCCCCAUUAGCUAGCUCAUGCCAUAAGGGUUCCAAAAGUACAAAAAUUAUAAAAAAUAACCUUCAAAUUGACUUACUUGCAAGAGGAUAGCUUGGCUAAAUUUUAAAGCUCCAAGAACCUUAUUUUGCUAAGAAAUUUCGAUGAAGAAGAAGAGGUGAAAGGGAUGAUAUCAUUCUUUUGUAUUUUAUUUCUUUUUAGUCAAUUUAGCCACCAAAUUUUCACCUAACAUUGACUUUUCUAUCCCUUUGUCUCCUAUGGCCGGCCACCUCUCUAAAAAAGGUUCUAUUUUCCCUUUAAAGGCCUCCACAAUAUGAAUCAUAGUCAAUUUACAGCUUUAGCUAACAAAAUAGGACUUUUGCACUUUAUGCGAUUUAGUCCUUUUUCACAAUUAAGCUUACAAACGCUAAAAUCAAUUCACCAAAUUUUUCAUAGACUAAUAUAAUCAUACUAUGACACCAAAAUAAUAAUAAAAGUAAUUCUUCAACCUCGGAUUGGUGGUCCCAAAACCAUUGUUCCGACUAAGCCCAAAACCAGGCUGUUACAAAAAGAUUCAAACUUAGGGCCUCAUUUAAUUUCCAUGCUUUCUCAUAUUUCUUUUAACCAUUAGGCUUUUCCUUAUUCUUAAAAUAAUUUUGAAAUAUUUAUUUUAGAAAUAAGACAUGUUUCAUACUAAGGUUUAAGGCAAAAUUUUCAAAAUAAUAAAAAAGAUGUAAGAAAAGGAAUUUGAACUUGGGUUUCAAGAAACGUUUAACUAACACUUAAGCAACAAAGCAAUACCACAUAUAUUUCCUAAAAAUGCAUAGAUAAUCUUAAAAAUUAAGGCAUGACCACUCUCUUUCGAUUUACAAACCCAAGUCUACUAACCCCUAGUUUUUAGGAUAUUAUAAUGUCAAAAUAAUGAUAUGCAUGUAGAUAUCAUAUUGAUGAUUAAGUGAGAAUAACUUACUUAAUCAAUUGUCUAAAAUAAUGCACUAUUCCAAUAUUAAGAAUUCGGAUCCGAGCGAUUCAAGAUUAAACACUUCAUAAAUGUGCAAAUAGACAUUAAUGUUAGAAUCAACCUAACGAGAUGGAAAGGAAAAGAAUGAGAUUAGAAACUUUUAACACCAUUUACAUUAUUCCAAGGAAAUAGAAGGCUCUAUGAUCCCACGGUGGUUCUGUUAAGAGGGAGGAGUGGUGACUAACAAAUCACAAUAACGUAAAAUAAAAAGGGAAGAUUAGCAAAAGAAUGUUAAUAAUCAUUCUCUAAUCGAAAUAUUGGUGCAAGAAAAAUGAAUAAAAAUUCAAUUACGAACUAGGGAAAUUAGAUGAGGAAGAGAAAUAGAGAAAAAUAUAAAGGACAACGGUGGCAGUGAUGCGACAAUGUGAUGACGGAGGUGGUGGUGAUGAGGUGGUGGUUCGUUCAGCUAAUGGUGGUGGAAGGUGGAAGAAAAAUGGAGUAAAAGGUGUGGUUUAGGGUCUAAAAAGAAAGAAAAAGAGAAAAAUGGGAGGAGUAAAUAAGGAGGGGUGGCAAAAGGGAAAGGAGGAAAAAAAAUGAAAGAAGAAUGUGGUUGAUGGAUACCAUAGGUGGGAUGGAUGUUCAACUAGGUAAUUCGAAGGAAAUGGCAUAUAUGGGAGACAAUGGCAUGGAAAGGGGAUCAAUGGGAGACAUGUGGAGUGAAAUGGGGGCUGAGGGAUGAAGGUUGACUUACAAAGAAGGAAAGAAAUCUUCUUAAUAAGGCAACAAAGGAUAGACAGCUAAGGGUUGUUUGACUAAGGAUUUAUGUCAAAAAAAUUUAAAAAAUAUGAGGAUGUGGUGAAUUGAACAUAAGGCCUAGGGUAAUUUUUCUAGGCUCCUAACCACUAGGUUAAUUCACUUACUCGUUCACAAACUAACAGAAGUAAAAUAAAACAUGGGAUGUGACAUUAGCAUGGAAGACCAGCUCACUUCAGUGGUCAUAACUAAUUCUUAUGUCGGGUUCUACUCAAUCAACUAGUCACUAACCUAGCAGGAUCUCUCGAUCUUCCACAAAACUAAUGAGUCGACAAGAACUACUUAUCUCUCAAACUCAUAGUCUAGAUCAGAUUAGGGUAAGGGGUUCACGAAUAGGCAAUACCAAUUUUGGGUUAAUUCCCACCUAAAUGACUUCAUAGGGUUGUUAGAACUAGGGUUUAAGUUCUUCAUAUCCUAACUAGUUGAUCCAUAAAAAAACCCUACAUAGAAAUUAAUUACUCCAACGUCCACUUGUUAAUCCUCCAUAAUAGGAUUAGUUCCUCAUGGAUUUCAUAAACAACAUAAACAUGAUAAAGAAGAUAAACAUGAAUAAUAAAUCAAAAGUAAAAGUUUAAGAGAAAUCCUAAAUUGUAUUGAUGAAUUGAAAGACAGAAAUAUAUAAGAGUUUGAUGAACCUACAAAUCCUAUUCUUCGUCUAACAAAAGUGAAAAUAAAACUGUAAAGAAAUCCUAAGUACAAAGGAAACUAAAAACUGAAUAAAAGUUGCAAUCUAAACUAGAAUAAAAUUUUUAAAAUAUAGAAAAGAUUAAAGAUACUCAAAAGUUGUUUAUGAAUUAUUUAGUGAAGUCGUCGUCAUUCACUGACCUAAAUCGACUGAUGUUUCCUUGUUAAAGUUCAUUAUGUGGACAAAAAUGCCCUCAGCUUUUUAAUUCUUUGCAUCAAGCCAUUUUCGCGACAUCCUCUGCCUUAUGUCACGACACUGGUGGGAGUUUGUAUGCUCAGGCUUGGAUUCAGGGUUGUGUCAUGACACCAAAGACAGUUUUACUCUUUUGGGUAUACUGCUUACUAUGUUGUGACAUUGACCCCUCGUGUUGCAACAUGGUGAUCAAUUUUGUGUUCUUGUGCCUCUGAAUGAUGUCCUAAACACUCACCAAACACAUUAGCCUUCUUUUAGGCCUACUUUGGCCCCUAAGGUCAUAUAAACAGCUUAAAUCAUGCUUUUUAUUAUUCGAGAACUAAAAGUGAAAAACUAAGUAAAACAUAAUGAAAUUUUAUUUUAUAUAAUCUCUUUAAGUACAAAAAAUGGUUUAAUCUGUUAUGACAAAUUGUGAUAGAUCACCUAGGAUGCACUAGAGUUUUUUGUAAAAAAGAAAGACAUUUCAAUGAGACUGUGCCUUGAUUACCGACAAUUGAACAAAGUCAUGAUGAAGAACAAAUAUCUGCUACCUCGCAUUGAUGAUUUUUUUGAUCAAUUGAAAGGGGAGUCAGUGUUUUCAAAAAUUGAUCUUUCAUUUUGGAUAUUAUUAGCUCGGGAAUAAAGAGGUAGAUGUACCAAAAAAUGCCUUUCAGACCGAGUACGAGCACUAUGAAUAUUUAGUUAUGUCAUUUAGGUUGACAAAUGCUCCAACUGUGUUUAUGGAUCUAAUGAAUAAACUAUUUCAACCAUAUUUAGAUAAGUUUGUUGUUGUUUUCAUGGAUGAUAUACUGAUAUAUUCGAGAAAUGAGGUUGAGCAUGCCCAGCAUUUGAGCAUUGUGUUGCAAACAUUGCACAAGAAAUAGAUGUAUGCAAAAUGUAGCAAAAAUAAGUUCUGGCUUUGAGAAGUCAGGUUUUUAGGUCAUGUAGUAAGAAGUUGAUCCUAGUAAGAUUCCAACUAUACUGAUUUGGAAACCUUCAAAAAAUAUCAUUGAAGUAAGAAGUUUCGUGGGUUUGGCUGAUUAUUAUAGAUGUUUUGUUGAAGGUUUCUUAAUGAUUGCAUUGUCGAUGAAGAAACUAUUGCAAAAAGAUGUUAAAUUUGUUAGAUCAAUAAAUAUCGACAAAGCUUCGAGUGUUGAAAAUGAUGUUAACAGAAGCUCCCAUAUUAACUCAACUAUAAUCCGGGAAAGAAUUUGUGUAUGUAACAAUGCUUCACUUAGCGAUUUGGGUUGUGUCUUGAUUUAGGAAGGCAAAUUUGUGGCUUAUGCUUCUCGACAGUUGAAACCACACGAGAAAAACUAUCCAACGCAUGAUCUAGAACUUGUAGCUAUUAUGUUUGCUAUAAAAAUUUUGUGACAUUACCUGUACGGACAAAAGUGCCAUAUAUUCACCAACUAUAAAAAUUUGAAAUACUUGAUGUCCCAAAAAGAGCUUAAUUUGAGAUAAUGUAGAUGGCUAGAAUUGUUGAAAGACUAUGAUUUAAUCAUCGACUAUCACCCAGGGAAAGCCAAUGUUGUUGCAGAUGCUUUCAAUAAAAAAUAAAUAUUUUCUUUGAUAGCCAUGAACACCCGUCUGAUGCUUGAAAGCUCGAUUUUGGCUGAAUUGAAAGCUAAACCAAUAUUUUUUCCACAAAUCUGUGAAGCAUAGAAAAAUAAUGUUGAGUUGAUUGCUAAAUGAGAAUAGGUCGAAAAGUGCAAGAUAUUGAGUUUCGUAUUGGUGAGGAUAAUAGUUUGUAUUUUCAAGAUAGAUUAUGUGUGCCGAACAAUUCUCAAAUUAAACGAGAGAUUUUAUGGGAAACUCACUAUAACAAUUACUCGAUUCAUCUUGGUAAUAACAAAAUAUACAAAAACUUGAAACAAAUGUACUGGUGGCUUGGUAUGAAACGUGAAAUUUCAGAAUUUGUUUCAAAAUGUCUGCAUGGUAUCAAAUUCCAUCAGGGUUGCUACAACUUAUUAUGAUUCCUGAAUGGAAAUGGGAAAGAGUCACCAUGGAUUUUGUGUCAGGGUUACCCUUAACAUCGAGAAAUGAAGAUGCAAGAUGGGUUGUUGUUAAUCAAUUAACAAAAUCCACACAUUUUAUCCCUAUACGUACAAAUUAUUCACUCGAAAGGUUGGCAAAAUUGUAUGUUUUUGAGAUCGUCAGAUUGCAUGGUGUAUCGUUGUCAAUUAAUUCUGAUCGUGAUCCAAGGUUUACCUCUAGAUUUUGGGGUAAGUUACACGAGACUCUGGGUACUAAAUUGAAUUUUAGCACAAUAUUUCAUCCAUAGACUAACAAUCAGUGUAAGAGAGUAAUUCUGAUACUCGAGGACAUGCUCAGAUUUUGCAUUCUUGAAUUUGAAAGUAACUGAGAAAAAUUUCAUUCGUUAGUUGAAUUUGCUUAUAACAAUAGUUACCAGUCGAGUAUUAAAAUGGUCUCUUACGAAGCUUUAUAUGAUCAAAAGUGCAGAACUCCAUUGUACUAGACUGAAUUGAGUGAUAAAAAGGUUUCGGGUAUAGACUUGAUUCGAGAAAUCGAAGAAAAAUUUAAGGUUAUACGAGAUUUUUGAAAGCUGCUUUUGACCGUCAAAAAUCGUAUGCCAACUUAAAAAGAAAAAACAUUGAAUUUUAGGUUGGUGAUAAAGUGUUCCUAAAUGUAUUGCCCAUGAAGAAUGUAACGCCCCUAACCCGAAUCCGUCACCGGAAUAGAGUUACGGAGCAUUACCGGAGUUACCGAUUCAUUUAUCAGAUAUUUCAUUAAUUCGAUAUCUUUUUUUUUCCACGUUCAAGUCUCGUAUUCAAGUCAUCCGGAUCUUUAUAAAGAAAUUUGAUCGUCGUUUUCAUUUAUUUCAUGUUAUAAUACAUUCAACUAAUGCUCUAAACAAAAUUAUCAUUUUACCCCUAAACUUUUAAUUAAUGACGAUUUCAUCCUUAGGUUAAAAUAAAAUAAAAUUGUUGCAAUUUAAUCCUUAUUUCCAGCCGUUAUUCUCACACAAAUUGAUAACAACCUAUGAAUUCUAUAAAAUGUCAAAAUUUUCCAUAAUUUCAACACUUUUCAAUUUAAUCCUUAAAACAUGUUUUUCCUUGAUCUUGAGCUAAAUUAAUAAUUUCAUUCAAUUUUGUAAUUUAAAUAAUAAAAGAUUCCAUUUCAUGCAAAUUGGUCAUUUCUAACAUUUUUUUACAAAAUUGCCCAUAAAAUUUUACUUUUAUUCAAUUUAGUCCAUGAGCCUAAAACAUACAAAUUAGCCAUGCUAGCUGAAUAUUCAUACAUAUUUUCCUCCUCCCCCUCUCCAUUCCACAUCCUUAAUUUAUAUAACAUGCAACAAGUAACAUUAUCAAUAAUUUCACUAUUUACUUAUGUAUAUUCAAAACUGUCCAUUUGCAUCAUAGUCACUAAAUUAUUUAUAUCUUAAGCUACAGAACUCGAAAUUAAGAUUCUCUAAUUUUCUAUGAAACUAGACUUACUUAUCUUAUUACCAUAAAAUUUUCAGAAUUUUUAGUUUAGCCAAUAAGUACAGUUUAUUCUUUAAAGUUGCCCCUGUUCUGCUGUCUGACAGUUCUGACCCUUCUUCACUAAGAAUUAAUUAUCUCAUCAUAUGAGAUUCAGAUGAUGUUACUGCUUAUUUUUAUUGAAAAUAGACUCUUUAAGGAUUUUAAACAUAUAAAUUUAAUCCCUUAAAUUUUUUUCUCCAAUUUUUUAUUAUUUUCCAAAGUCAGAACAGGGGAACCCGAAAUCAUUCUGACAUUGUCUCACAAAACUUAUUAUAUCUCAUGAUUUACAGUUUCAUUGCUUACACCGUUUCUUCUAUAAGAAACUAGACUCAAUAAGAUUUAAUUUAAUAUUUCAUUCAUCCCCUAAUUAGAUUUAUACAAUUUUUGGAGAUUUUUCAAAGUUAGACUAUUGCUGCCGUCCAAAACUGUUUUAGUGCAAAAUGUUGAUUUUCAUUUUGCCCCAAAUUUCACAGUUCAUACAAUUCGGUCCUUACUUAAUUAACCCCUCAAUUAAAAUAAUUUUCUCAAUUAAUACUUUUCCUAGACAUUAUAAGUUAUUUCAUAACUAUUUAAAUUCAGAAUUUCCACAUAAAACUCUAACUUCAAACUCUUUUACAAUUUAGGUCCCAAACAUUCACUUUCUAUUCAAUUCUUUCAAUAAAAUCAGCAUAUAAACAAUUUAAAGCUCUAAUUCUAUGUCAAAUCAUCAUAUACUUCCAGCACAUAUUCAUAGAAACUUUCAAUUUCUUUCAUAGAAUCAAGAACUAAUGAAUUCAACAAAUGAACCUAGUUGUAAAAGUCACAGAAACACAAAAAUUUCAAGAAAUAAUCAAGAAUUGAACUUACUUGCAGUAAAAAUAUGAAAAACCAGCUUAAGGGAACUCUUCCAUGGUGUUUUGCUGAUGAGAAUGUAGAAAAAUAAAGAGAAAUCUAGAUAAUUCCACUUUAGUCCUAGCUUUAUUAAGUAAAUUUUGCAAUUUUCCAAUUUUUUUUAAUUCUCCUUAUUUUCUUGGUGAUUUCAUGCUCUUGCCGUCCAGCCCAAAUAGACCUUGGGUCUAUUUGCCUUUUAAACCCUCUUUCUUUUAUCAUUUAAGCUAUUUAAUCAUUUCCCACAAUUUUGCAUUUGAUACAAUUUAGUCCUUUUUGUUCAAUUAGCUAUCAGCACUUUAAAAUUUCUUGACGAAACUUUAAUACUAACUUAUUAACACUCCAUAAAUAUUUAUAAAAAUAUUUAUGGCUCGAUUUAAAAUUCUCGAGGUCUCGAUACCUCAUUUUCAAUUUUAAUUAUUUUAAUAUAUAUAUAUAUUUAGUACAUUUCACUAUUUCAAAAUUUUUCCUAACUUCACAUUUAACUUAUACUCACUAAAUUAAUAAUAUUUCCUACUCAUUUGUCGGAUUUAGUGAUCUCAAAUCACUGUUCCGACACCACUAAAAAUUAGGCUGUUACAACUCUCCCCCCUUUAGGGAUUUUCGUCCCCGAAAAUCUUACCAGAAGGAGUUGCUUUCAACACUCAUAAAACACCUUUACUAACUUCUCAGAAUCACAAUUUGAUUUAACCUCGAAUGUAACACCCCUAACCUGAAUCCGAACGCCAGAUUAAGGCUAAGAGGUAUUACCGAACUAACCAUUUAAUUAUCUCAUUCACAGUGUCAAUAAACAUAAACAGAGAUCGAGCUGAAAUACAUACUGAUAUUUAAGUUAUACGCCAUUUUUCGUAUGGCCAAAAUAUUUACAAUUUCAAAACAUAGUUAUCAUCAGCCUAACCUAUACAUGCCAUAUCGAGUCCAAAAUAUAACUAUACCAAAAAGAUCGAUUGUGUGAUGAACUGCUGACGAUCCCCGAGUCGGUGGCCAAAAUCAACAAUCUAUAAAACAGAGAAAUAAAGAACAGAGUAAGCUUUCAAAGCUUAUUAAGUUUUAAGCAUCACAAACAAUUAAAGACUUAUCGAACAUCGAAACAUUCAUUCACACUUAAGUAUCAUUCUUUAGUACUAAUAAUUCACAAAAAUCAUUGACUGAAUGUACAUGAGUACAUAAAGAAAUUUUAACAUAUAAUUCAUAUACAAAUAUACCAUGACCGAUUAAAUCAUUCUCAUAUUCACAAAUAUAACCAUCAAUCAUAUUUAUAUAUAUAUUCUUCUUUGAUGCUAAUGAUUCACUUCGAAAUCAAUUCACCGAUUGUAAUAUCCUGAUUUUGGGCCUAGUUGGAAUAGCGGUUUCGUGACCACAAAAUUUGAGAUAGAAAUAAUUAUUUUAUGAUUAUUUUGAGGUCUAUGAUAUGAUUGCAUGAUUGUGUGAAAAUUUCGUGAAGAAAUUUUAUGCAUAAAGUGCUUAAAUUGAAAUUAGGGACUAAAUCGAAUAAUUUGUAAAACUUGCAUUCUAGAAGUUUCUAGUAUGAAAUUGUUUUAAAAUAUUAAUUAGGAGGUAUUAAAUAGAAAUUUUACCAACUUCUAAGUCUAUGGACAAAAAUUGGACAUGGAUGGAAUUUUUGAAAAGUUUAGUAGUAAGGGCAUUUUGGUCAUUUAGGGGUAAAAUGAAUUAAAAUACAAAAUUAAAAGCCAAUUUUGCUCAUCUUCAACCCCAUGACCGAAUAUAGCAAGGAGAAACCAUGGAUAGGGUUUUUCAAGCUUCCAAGCUCGAUUGUAAGUCCGUUCUAGCCUCGUUUUUAAUGAUUUUUACGUUUUUAGAGUCCCGGUAGCUCGAUUAAGCUUAUGCUAGCAAUAAUUCAACCUAGGGUUCAUAUUUGGAAAAAUACCCAUAGGUGAAAUUUGUGUAUUUUGGUGUUUUAUGAUAGAAAAUGAGGUUUUAAAUUAUGUUAGACAACUUGUGCUACUCGGUUUUAAGCGAAAACUAGCAAAAGGGCUUAAUCGGUAAAAAUACCUAAUAGUCAUAAGAACAUGUUAGAGUGAGAAUUUGAUGUUUCCAUAGAAGGGAAAAAUGAUCAGCAUGUCAUAAAACAUAAGAAAAUAUGCUAAAGUUUAAUUUACGAGCUUUGGGGCAAAAGUGUAAAUAUGCAAAAGUUUAGGGGCAAAACUAUAAUUUUGCCAAAAUAUGAUUUUGGGUCAAUUUGAAUAAUGUGAGUCCUAAUUAGACUAUAUUUUAAAUGAUAGAGCAAGGAAAACUAAAAUUCGGGCUAAAAUGGGGAAAAUACCAAGUUGUGGACGAAAUGGUAAAAGUAGCCAUUUUUGCGUACGAGGUAAGUUCAUAUGUAAAUGUUGGUAACAUAGUUAUUAUUUUAAAUGUUUUUAUGUUAUUUAAAUGAUAUGAUAAUUAUUAUGAAGUAUUAUACUCGUGAUAAUUGUUUGAUAAUAUUCAAAUUGUGUGAUAUACUUGGAAAAUGUGAAAUACUACCGAGUAUCGGUAUCGGCAUUCCGUAGAAGAUGGUUGAGACACAUGAUUGGGAAAAAGGUCCCGUUGAACCUUAGGAAUGGAUUAGGAUACAAGUGAAAUGUCACUAGGAUAUUUGGGCAUCCGAACUCGUUGAGUUGAGUCCGAGUUCACUUAUGGAUGCGAAUGUCCGAACUCGUUGAGUUGAGUUCGAGUUCGAGAGAUGUAACUAGGCAUCUAAGCUCGUUGAGUUGAGUCCGAGUUCACUUAUGGAUGCGAACGCCCGAGCUCGUUGAGUUGAGUCCGAGUUCACUUAUGGGCGGGUUACAUGGUAGCUUGGCUACAUAUGUGGCACUUAUGUGCAAACUUUCCAUGUAUCCGAAUUAUAUUCCGAUGUGUUCAACGGGUAAAAUUCUACUCAAAUGGAGGAAUACUCGAGAAGAAAGGGACGUAUUGGUAAGUGUUGUGAAAUGAAUACUUUGAACAGGUAUGUACUUAACCCUCGGGUUGAAAACUCGAUAUAACAACAAUAUGGUAAGAUGAUAAAUGAAAAUGUGAUAUGAAUGUCUCGGUGACGAUUAUGCAAAUGAUGUUUUAUGUUUGCGUAUAUAGUUGUGUUACUUGCUAUUUGCAUGUGAACUUACUAAGCAUUUAUGCUUACUCCAUCCUUUUCAUUCCUUGUAGUUUGAUAAGCCAGCUCGGAAAUCGGGAACGGUCGGAGGUUCGCUCGCACUAUCUGUAUACCAUCUUGGCAUAAUGGCUUGUAUAUUUUGAGUAUGGCAUGUAUAGCAUUAUAAUCAUUUUGUAUAUAUGGUCUUAUGAUAUGGUUAUUGAGUGGUAUGGAAAUGCUUGGUAAUGAUUAGCCAUUGGAAUGGCUAAUCAUGAUCAUAUUUGGUGUUAUGUAUGUCAAAUUUCUAGCUAAUCCAUGGAAACCAUGAAAUAGGUAAAAUUUACCAUAAAAUAGAUUCUAACAGCAGUAGUGAUGUAAAUUUGAAAAAUCACUAAAAAUAGUAUAAAUGGAAUUAAAUGAUGAGCAAGUUAUGAAAUUGAAGCCUAAUGAGUCUUUUUCAUAUGGAUAAAAAAAAACAGGCAUAUAAAUUAUACUUUAUGAGAUAUUUGAAACCUUGUGAAACAGGGCCAGAGUGAUUUCUGGAUCCUCUAUUCUGAAUUUAAAAAUUCAUAAUAAAUUAUAAAAAAAUAAUUAUAAGUCAUUAUUUAUAUGUACAGAUUACUUAUUGAGUCUCGUUUUAAGAGAAACAAACUUCAUAGUCAUUGAAAUUAUGUACAGAGAGAUAUCUGAUUCGUAAUACACAGAGGUCAGAGCAGUCGAACCCUGAAACAGGGUAGACUUUAACUAAUAAACUGUACUAAUUGGCUCGACCAAAAAUUCUAUAAAACAAUUAGUAAAUAGAUAAAUGAGUCUAUUUUCAGGUAAAAUUAACAGAAUUGGAUUUCGAUUUCUUAACUCGAGAUAUGAAUUUUUAAACGACUGUGACGCAGAUUGCUAGUUUAACUGGAAAAUUUAAAAAUAAAUUGUUUGGGCUGUUUAAGUAAUGAAUUAAGUCUGUUAACACCGCGUGUUCGACUCCGGCGACGGUCUUGGGUACGGGGCGCUACACCGAUGAGUAAGUAAUACGUACCUGAACAUUUUAAAUGUAUAGUACUUACUCGACGAUGGUUUACUGCGAACAUUCAAUAUCGUAAUCUUACUUAACUUACUGGCAUUAAGCCUGUUAGGUCUUAGGACUUGAAACCAAUUACCAGCACAAGCUUGCGGGAAUUUAAACCCGGUAUAAUACCAGCUCGAAGCCUGCGGGACUUUAGCCCGGACAUAGUUCCAGCACGUAGCUUGCGGACCUUAAGUCCGGAUGUAAUUCCAGCAUAUAGCUCGCGGACCCUAAGUCCGGAUAUAAUUCCAGCACAUAGCCUGCGGACCCUAAGUCUGGAUAUACAUCACUGAAUGUCAUGCAUACUUAUUCGCAAGAAAAUUCAAUUCACAUAACAUCUCACAAUCAUAGUUCAUUUAUUCCAUUCGAAUAAUAGCAUAACAUGGGCACCAUUCAUAUAACUUUUGGCUCAAUAACAUACAUAAGAAUAUAUGUCCAUUUACUUUCCAAGCUUAACUUCUAAUGUUUAUUCGACUUUAAGCCUUAAACAUAAAUUAUUUGUCACUCAACUAUAUUCAAAUAGACUCAAUAGAUCGCAGUACAGUUAUCAUACGCAUAUCAAGACAUUAUCAAUUACGUACUAAAUGUGACUAUUCAAAACUUACCUCGGAUAUACUUGAACGGUUGCGGAAAGGCUACUCAAUUACUUUCUCUUUUCCCCUAUCCAACUUCGACCCUCUUUACUCUUGAGCUUAAAUUCAAAAAUUUUAAACUAGUCAUUAUUCGACUAUUCAAGCAUUUCUUCAGAAAUAUAAUAUAUAUAUUCGACUUUCACACACAUAGAUCAUAGUAAGUUUAUAAGAAAACAUUAAGCAACUCAUUAACAAAGUUUUAUCAAUGAUUACCACAUAAUCACAAAUUCGCAAUAAGCUGUCUUCCUGAGCAACAGUCACCAAAUUAUUUAUAACUGGAGCUACAAAACUCCAAAUCAAUUGCCGUAAAAUUUCCCUGAAAAUAGACUCAUAUAUCUUUUAUCAUAAAAUUUCAGAAUUUUUAGUUUCGCCAAUCAAUACCAGAUUUUUCUUAAAGUUUCCCCCUGUUUCACUGUUUGACUAAUCUGACCACCCUUUAUUACGAAUCAAAUUUCUAAUUUUCAGAAGUCAAAAUAUGUUCUCGUUGAUUUCAUUUGAAACUAGACUCAUUAAGCUUUAAUUAAAUAGUUUAUUCAUCUUCUAACUCCACUCUCACAAUUUAUGGUAAUUUUCCAAAAUCACUUUACAGCUGCUGUCCCGUUCAGAUUUAUUACAAUAUACUAAAUCACAACUCUUUGCAUUCAUAUUAUUAACCAAAUAUAGUUAUGCAACCAAAACACAAAUCAUAUAUACCUUGUAAUAUGUAUAUCAAAAUAACUCCAACCAUGAUCAGAUAUAACCGAAUUUAAACAUGAAAAUUAAGCCAUUUUCGAACUCCUAUACUAAAUCAAUACAUACCAAAAGCUAAUUUUUACAUAUCCGUCAACUCGAACCUAAAACCAUAACCGAAUACUCAAGUACAUAUUAUCUAUUCUAUUAUUACAAGUUAUGCACAUGUGGCUAAAACAAAUUGAACCAUUUUGAACACAAAUAUCAACUAAAAAUACAGCCAUUUCCAUAUGUAUAUUUUACUCAUGCAAAGACCAUAACUGAAUCAACCAUAGAUACCACCCAAAUCAUUAAUUAUUUUUUUAACACACCUAACUACUCAAAAUCAACCUUUCAUACACUCAUAUCUAAUAUCAUAGGUAAUGCCAAAUGUUCAAAUUCAACUAAAUUUAAAGAUUUAACCUUCAUUAUUUUAAUUAAUCACUACCUAUUCUUCAAAACUUCAAAUACAAGGUAAUUAACACAUAUACUUAUUUUAUUUUAUUCCCACCAUGACCGAAAGCUCAAAUUCUCCCAAAACUCAAAAUUUUAACAUGGGUUGAAAUAAGAACUUGAUAACUAACUUAAAAACAACUAAAAUUUUAAGAACUAAUAAAAAUUCUUACCUUGAUUUAAGCCUAUGGUAACCGAAUGAAGUUUUCUCCCCUUUCCUCUCUUACAUUUGGGCCAAGAAGAACAAAGGUGAAGCUUUGUUUUCAUCACCCAUUUUCUUUUUAUUAAUUCAUUACUAAAUUAAAAUUAUAAAGCCAUUAUAAUUAAAUAAUACAUAUAUUCUAAAUAACAUAUCAUCAUGGCCGGCCACUACCGAAAUAAAAUGAAUAUUUGACAUGCAAGUCCAUCCUCUUUGUCACAUGCAUUAAUAGGCCACUUAAGAUUAACCUAUCACAUUUCAGAAUUUUCUCCCAUAAGUCCUAUUUAAUAAUUUCACAUACAAUUGACCAAAUUAAAACAUGAAACUUUCACACGUGCAUGUACACAUACAGUAAGUAUAGAUUAUAACGGUUAAUUAUUUUUAUGACUCGAUUUUGUGGUCCCGAAACCACUUUCCGACUAGGGCCAAAUUAGGGCUGUCACAACUCUCCCCCACUUAAGGAAUUUUCGUCCCCGAAAAUCUUACCAGUGAAUAGAUUUGGGUAUCGUUCUUUCAUAGAUUUCUCGGCUUCCCAUGUAGCUUCUUUGAUCCCGUGUUUGAGCCAUAACACCUUUACUAACGGAACCUUUUUGUUUCGCAACUCUUUCACCUCGUGAGCUAGGAUACGAAUCGGUUCUUCUUCAUAACUCAAAUCAGAUUGAAUUUCAACCUCUGAUGGGUUAAUUAUGUGCGAUGGAUCGGAUCUAUAACGUCGAAGCAUCGAGACAUGAAAAACGUUGAGAAUCUUUUCAAGUUCAGGGGGUAAAAUCAAUCUGUAUGCAACUGGCCCUAUUCGUUCGGAUAUCUCAUACGGCCCGAUGAACCUCGGACUCAAUUUGCCUUUACGGCCAAAUCUGAGCACCUUUUUCCAAGGUGAAACUUUAAGAAAUACUUUAUCUCCAACCUGAUAUUCAAUGUCUUUUCGUUUUAAAUCUGCAUAUGACUUCUGACGAUCCGAAGCUGCCUUCAGACUUUCACGGAUUACUUUUACUUUUUGCUCAGCAUCUUUAAUCAAAUCGACCCCAAAGAUUUUAUUUUCACUAAGCUCGGUCCAAAAUAACGGUGUACAACAUUUACGACCAUAAAAAGCCUCAUAAGGUGCCAUCCUAAUGCUUGAUUGAAAACUAUUAUUGUACGCGAAUUCAAUCAAAGGUAAAUACCGUUCCCAUGAACCACUAAACUCAAGGAUGAAACAUCUCAACAUAUCCUCAAGUAUUUGAAUUAUCCGCUCUGAUUGACCAUCAGUCUGAGGAUGAAAAGCGGUGCUAAAAUGCAACUUGGUACCCAAUGCUUCUUGCAAUUUCUUCCAAAAUCGCGAUGUGAAUCUCGGAUCUCUAUCCGACACAAUAGAAAUAGGUACCCUGUGUAACCUUACAAUAUGAGAAACGUACAAUUCAGCUAGUUUGUCCAGUGAAUAAUCCGUACGUACGGAAAUAAAAUGAGCCGACUUAGUCAGUCUAUCAACAACAACCCAAAUCGCAUCUUUCUUACUUGACGACAAUGGCAACCCAGAUACAAAAUCCAUCGUGACUCGAUCCCAUUUCCAUUCGGGUAUCAUGAUCGGUUGAAGUAACCCUGAAGGCACUUGAUGUUCCGCUUUCACUUGUUGACAUAUCAAACACUUCAAAACAAAAUCAGAAAUGUCUCGUUUCAUACCGGGCCACCAAAAUUGACGUUUCAGAUCGUUGUACAUUUUUGGACUCCCCGGGUGAAUUGACAUUCGGCUACUAUGAGCCUCAUUCAAAAUUAUCGAAAUAAGUUCUGAAUUUCUUGGAACACACAAUCGACUUCUGAACCUCAAACAAUUAUCGUCAUCAAUUUGAAAUUCUGAUUCCAAAUUUGAAACACAUUCAGCUCGAUUAGCAACCAAUUUAUCAUCGACUUUCUGAGCUUCACGUAUUUGAUGAAUCAAUAAUGGUUUAGCCCUUAAUUCUGCUACUAACACAUUAUCAGAUGAAACAGACAGGUGUACAUUCAUCGCUCAUAAAGCAAACAGUGAUUUACGACUUAAAGCAUCAGCAACCACGUUAGCCUUUCCCGGGUGAUAGUCGAUGACAAGCUCAUAGUCUUUCAACAACUCAAGCCAACGUCUUUGUCGCAGAUUCAAAUCUCAUUGAGUCAUCAAAUAUUUGAGGCUUUUGUGAUCCGAAUAUACAUGGCACCUCUCUCCAAACAAGUAGUGUCGCCAUAUUUUCAAAGCGAAUACGAUGGCAGCUAAUUCAAGAUCAUGGGUCGGAUAGUUUUUCUCAUGCGGCUUCAAUUGCCUCGAUGCGUAAGCUACAACUCGACCUUCUUGCAUCAACACACAACCCAGCCCAAGUAAGGAUGCAUCACUGUAAAUGACAAACUCUUUACCGGAUUCGGGCUGCACUAGUACUGGAGCUUCAGUCAAAUACGUUUUCAACUGAUCGAAGUUCUUCUGACAUUUUUAUGACCAUUCAAACUUAACAUCUUUCUGCAGUAGCUUCGUCAUUGGUGUGGCUAUCAUUGAAAAACCCUUUACAAACCGUCUGUAGUAACCGGCAGGUCCUAAAAAGCUCCGAACUUCAGUAACAUUUCUUGGAGGCUUCCAGUUAAGUACGGUCGAAAUUUUGCUCAGAUCAACUCGAAUACCCGGUGCGGAUACCACAUGACCCAAAAACCUAACUUCUCUCAACCAGAACUCACAUUUACUGAAUUUAGCAUAUAACUGCUUAUCCCAUAAAAUCUACAACACUAAUCUCAGGUGCUCGGCGUGUUCAGUUUCAUCACGUGAAUAAAUCAAGAUGUCAUCUAUAAACACAACUACAAACCGAUCCAAACACUGUCUGAAAAUUCAGUUCAUCAAAUCCAUAAAUAUUGCAAGGGCAUUAGUGAGCCCAAAUGGCAUCACUAAGAACUCGUAGUGACCGUAUCUCGUUCUGAAAGCAGUUUUAGGUAUAUCUGAGUCUCGAACUCGCAACUGAUAAUAACCCGAUCUCAAAUCUAUUUUUGAAAACAAUGAGGCUCCCUUCAGUUGAUCAAACAAAUCAUCAAUACGCGGUAACGUAUAUUUAUUCUUUAUUGUCACUUUAUUCAAUUUACGAUAGUCGAUGCACAACCUCAUGGUUCCGUCCUUCUUUUUCACAAACAACACUGGUGCACCCCAAGGUGAGAAACUCGGUCUAACGAAACCUCUAUCCGUCAACUCUUGCAACUGAGCUUUCAAUUCCUUUAAUUCGGUUGGUGCCAUACGAUACGGAGCAAUCGAAAUCGGUGUAGUCCCAGGUACAAGUUCAAUGCCAAACUCUACUUCCCGAUCAAGUGGUAACCCUGGUAAUUCUUCGGGAAAAACAUCCGGAUAUUCACAAACCACUGGCACUGAUUCAAGCUUCUUUUCUGAUUCUUUAUUAUCAAGUACUUAUGCAAGAUACGCUUUACACCCCUUUCUUACAUAUUUUUGAGCUAACAUCGAGGAUAUUAUUAUUGCUGGCAAUCCGUUCCAAUCAGUAGACUCAACUUGGAUUAUCUCAUUAUUUGCACAUCUCAAAUCAAUGGUUUUACUUUUGCAAUUCACAACUGCAUCAUGUACAGUCAACCAAUCCAUACCGAGGAUAACAUCAAAUUCAUCAAAUGGUAAAAGCAUCAAAUCGGACGGAAAGCAGUAAUCUCGGACUACUAGGGGGCAUUUCUUACACACCUUAUCAACAAGCACAUAAUGACCCAAGGGAUUCAACACUCAAAUAACAAACUCAGUAGACUCAACAGAUAAAGUCUUACUGGAUGCUAAAGUCUCACAUACAUAUGGAUGAGUAGAACUAGGGUCAAUCAAAGCAAUCACAUCAGUAUCAAAAAGAGUAAAAGUACCGGAAUAACAUCUGGUGAUGAAGCUUCCUCGCGUGCGCGUAUAGCAUAAGCUCUAGCAGGAGCACGAGCCUCGGAUCUGGUUGUAACAUCUCUAGACCCUCUCUGACCGCCGUUAGCAUUCCCCGUAUUCCUAGGUGGUCUACCUCGUGCUGUAGUAUUACUCGAUUUCCCACUGUGAUUCACAUUUUGUUCGGAUAAUCUCGGGCAAUCUUUGAUAAAGUGGUCGGCUGACCCGCAUUUAUAAUAGGAGCGGUCAUGAAAUCUACAACUCCCCGAAUGCCAUUUACCACAAUACUUGCACUCGGUUCUGUCCUGACGUUCGUUUCCAACACUGGUAACUGAAAUGACUCGUGUACUCACAGGGGGUCGAUCGUGGUCUCGUCUGGAAAAACCUGAAGUAUUCUUUGAUCGGCCUGAAUCAUCUCAAAAUUUCUUCGAUGAUUGCUGAAAAGAAUUUCGUAAAGAUCUUUUACGAAAUUCUCCAGCUUCGACAUCAGCUUUUUUUUUCUUUACUAAGUUCUUCGGCUUUGCAAGCUCGUUCGACAAGUACUACGAACUCUUGUAUUUCAAGAAUGACAACAAAUAUCUUUAUAUCUUCAUUCAGCCCAUCUUCAAAAUGUUUACACAUAAUAGCCUCAGACGAUACACAUUCCCGAGCAUAUCUACUGAGUUUGAGAAACUUUCGUUCAUAAUCAGUAACUGACAUGGAACCCUGUUUAAGGUCAAGAAAUUCUUUUCGUUUUUGAUCAAUGAACCUCUGACUGAUAUAUUUUUUUUGAAAUUCAAUCUGGAAGAAUUCCCACGUCACCCGUUCUUUGGGCACAAUAGAAACCAGUGUAUUCCACCAAUAAUAGGCAGAAUCACGUAGCAGAGAUAUGGCACAUUUCAGGCAUUCAUCAGGUGUGCAAGAGUUCAUCAAAUACUCGGAUAGUAUUGUCCAGCCAAAAUUCAGCUUUCUCAGCAUCAUCGGUAUCUGUAGCCUUAAAUUCAGUAGCCCCGUGCUUUCAGAUUCUGUCUUCUGGAGACUUAUUUAACCUCGUCUAAUCAGUUACCGGAGGUAUCGUAGGUGCAGGGGGUGUAUUAUUCGGGAGUGGGGGUUGUGGAACAGCCGUAUUAGUUCGAAUGUAUUGGUUGAACCAAUCAUUCAUCACACUAUAAAAAGCCUGUCUAGCCUCCUCGUUCUGAUUGCUUGCAAUAGGUUGAGAGUCCAUCGGCGCUGUCCCAUGCGCAGGAACAGGCGCUACACUCUCAACAUCAUCGGCUACCGCUCGAUUCGGAUCGGGAUCCAUUACUAUAUGAAAACACAUUUUUAACUGUCAGAAUUCAUCAUACUACCGUAUUAAUACUAUAUGGCAUGUAUAGCUAGACUCAAACACUCUACAUUAGUCCUAGAAUCGACUAAACCGUAGCUCUGAUACCAAUAAAAUGGAACACCCCUAACCUGAAUCCGAACGCCGGAUUAAGGCUAAGAGGUAUUACCGAACUAAACAUUUAAUUAUCUCAUUCACAGUGUCAAUAAACAUAAACAAAGAUCGAGCUGAAAUACAUACUGAUAUUUAAGUUAUACGCCAUUUUCGUAAGGCCAAAAUAUUUACAAUUUCAAAACAUAGUUAUCAUCAGCCUAACCUAUACAUGCCAUAUCGAGUCCAAAAUAUAACUAUACCAAAAAGAUCGAUAGUGUGAUGAACUGCUGACGAUCCCCGAGUCGGUGGCCAAAAUCAACAAUCUAUAAAACAGAGAAAUAAAGAACAGAGUAAGCUUUCAAAGCUUAGUAAGUUUUAAGCAUCACAAACAAUUAAAGACUUAUCGAACAUCGAAACAUUCAUUCACACUUAAGUAUCAUUCUUUAGUACUAAUAAUUCACAAAAAUCAUUAACUGAAUGUACAUGAGUACAUAAAGAAAUUUUAACAUAUCAUUCAUAUACAAAUAUACCAUGACCGAUCAAAUCAUUCUCAUAUUCACAAAUAUAACCAUCAAUCAUAUAUAUAUAUAUUCUUCUUUGAUGCUAAUGAUUCACUUCGAAAUCAAUUCACCGAUGAGUAAGUAAUACGUACCUGAACAUUUUAAAUGUAUAGUACUUACUCGACGAUGGUUUACUGCGAACAUUCAAUAUCGUAAUCUUACUUAACUUACUGGCAUUAAGCCUGUUAGGUCUUAGGACUUGAAACCAAUUACCAGCACAAGCUUGCGGGAAUUUAAACCCAGUAUAAUACCAGCUCGAAGCCUGCAGGACUUUAGCCCGGACAUAUUUCCAGCAUGUAGCCUGCGGACCUUAAGUCUGGAUAUAAUUCCAGCACAUAGCCUGCGGAUCCUAAGUCCGAAUAUAAUUCCAGCACAUAGCCUGCGGACCCUAAGUCCGGAUAUACAUCACUAAAUGUCAUGCAUACUUAUUCGCAAGAAAAUUCAAUUCACAUAACAUCUCACAAUCAUAGUUCAUUUAUUCCAUUCGAAUAAUAGCAUAACAUGGGCACCAUUCAUAUAACUUUUGGCUCAAUAACAUACAUAAGAAUAUAUGUCCAUUUACUUUCCAAGCUUAACUUCUAAUGUCUAUUCGGCUUUAAGCCUUAAACAUAAAUUAUUUGUCACUCAACUAUAUUCAAAUAGAAUCAAUAGAUCGCAGUAUAGUUAUCAUACACAUAUCAAGAAAUUAUCAAUUACGUACUAAAUGUGACUAUUCAAAACUUACCUCGGAUAUACUUGAACGGUUGCGGAAAGGCUACUCAAUUACUUUCUCUUUUCCCCUAUCCAACUUCGACCCUCUUUGCUCUUGAGCUUAAAUUCAAAAAUUUUAAACUAGUCAUUAUUCGACUAUUCAAGCAUUUCUUCAGAAAUAUAAUAUAUAUAUUCGACGUUCACACACAUAGAUCAUAGUAAGUUUAUAAGAAAACAUUAAGCAACUCAUUAACAAAUUUUUAUCAAUGAUUACCACAUAAUCACAAAUUCACAAUAAGCUGUCUUCCUGAGCAAUAAUCACCAAAUUAUUUAUAACUGGAGCUACAAAACUCCAAAUCAAUUGCUGUAAAAUUUCCCUGAAAAUAGACUCAUAUAUCUUUUAUCCAUAAAAUUUUCAGAAUUUUUAGUUUGGCCAAUCAAUACCAGAUUUUUCUUAAAGUUUCCCCCUGUUUCACUGUUUGACUAAUCUGACCACCCUUUAUUACGAAUCAAAUUUCUAAUUGUACAGAAGUCAAAAUAUGGUCUCGUUGAUUUCAUUUGAAACUAGACUCAUUAAGCUUUAAUUAAAUAGUUUAUUCAUCUUCUAACUCCACUCUCAUAAUUUAUGGUGAUUUUCCAAAAUCACUUUAAAGCUGCUGUCCCAUUCAGAUUUAGUACAAUAUACUAAAUCACAACUCUUUGCAUUCAUAUUAUUAACCAAAUAUAGUUAUGCAACCAAAACACAAAUCAUAUAUACCUUGUAAUAUGUAUAUCAAAAUAACUCCAACCAUGAUCGGAUAUAACCGAAUUUAAACAUGAAAAUUAAGCCAUUUUCGAACUCCUAUACUAAAUCAAUACAUACCAAAAGCUAAUUUUUACAUAUCCGUCAACUCGAACCUAAAACCAUAACCGAAUACUCAAGUACGUAUUAUCUAUUCUAUUAUUACAAUUUAUGCACAUGUUGCUAAAACAAAUUGAACCAUUUUGAACACAAAUAUCAACUAAAAAUACAACCAUUUCCAUAUGUAUAUUUUACUCAUGCAAAGACCAUAACUGAAUCAACCAUAGAUACCACCCAAAUCAUCAAUUAUUUUUUUUAACACACCUAACUACUCAAAAUCAACCUUUCAUACACUCAUAUCUAAUAUCAUAGGUAAUGCCAAAUGUUCAAAUUCAACUAAAUUUAAAGAUUUAACCUUCAUCAUUUUAAUUAAUCACUACCUAUUCUUCAAAACUUCAAAUACAAGGUAAUUAACACAUAUACUCAUUUUAUUUUAUUCCCACCAUGACCGAAAGCUCAAAUUCUCCCAAAACUCAAAAUUUUAACAUGGGUUGAAAUAAAAACUUGAUAACUAACUUAAAAACAACUAAAAUUUUAAGAACUAAUAAAAAUUCUUACCUUGAUUUAAGCCUAUGGUAACCGAAUGAAGUUUUCUCCCCUUUCCUCUCUUACAUUUCGGCCAAGAAGAACAAAGGUGAAGCUUUGUUUUCAUCACCCAUUUCUUUUUAUUAACUCAUUACUAAAUUAAAAUUAUAAAGCCAUUAUAAUUAAAUAAUACAUAUAUUCUAUAUAACAUAUCAUCAUGGCCGGCCACUACCUAAAUAAAAUGAAUAUUUGACAUGCAAGUCCAUCCUCUUUGUCACAUGCAUUAAUAGGCCACUUAAGAUUAACCUAUCACAUUUCAGAAUUUUCUCACGUAAGUCCUAUUUAAUAAUUUCACAUACAAUUGACCAAAUUAAAACAUGAAACUUUCACACGUGCAUGUACACAUACAGUAAGCAUAGAUUAUAACGGUUAAUUAUUUUUAUGACUCAGUUUUGUGGUCCCGAAACCACUUUCCGACUAGGGCCAAAUUAGGGCUGUCACAUCGAAUAUCUUUUUCCAUUCACCUUUGAACUCUAGAACACAAUGUUGGAACAUACUGUCAAAAUUAUAAAUUACCCUCUCAGGGAUACAUAUACUCAGCUGAUCUGCAAAUGAAAACUCUGUACCUACUGAAAUGAUCAUACAGAUCUUUCUUUGUCAAAUGAACAACCAUAAACUAAAUAACAUUUUCCUUUCCGAUGUUAAUGACAAUCCCAAUUCGAAAUGUAUAGUCAUUCUAUCUCAUAACACACUAGUAUUAUCAUUGACUGCAAUAAUCCUAAAUGUUCUUAAUGUUCAGCUUACUUGCUAACAAAUAGACAUCUGAACAUGAACUCAAAGAUAUUAUGUAACGCUCGUGCAAUCACUAGUACAUCUAACUCAUAAGAAGAUAAUAAUGAUCUUGAUAAUUUCUCAAAGAAAGCCAUAAGAGAAACACUGCUUACCGACUCUGGACUUCUAUCAUAACAGAGAUAAUAUAUUUCCCGCAUGUAUAAAACAAAAUCAUAAUCAGUAGAAACAUAAGAAUAGUCUCACAUAAGUUUUUACCAUUCACUUCAUUUCCAACAUAUUAAAAUAGAAUUCCAAGAAGAUGAAGAAAUGACGAUCAUAAACCGACCAGACCAAUAGGGCUUUCGUCUAACAUCAUAGUUAACUAGCAUUCUCAAAACAUCACAACUCCACUAGAGACUGAACAACCACACACAUAAAUUUUUAUAAAAAUAUUUAUGGCUCGAUUUAAAAUUCCCGAGGUCUCGAUACCACAUUUUUAAUUUUAAUUAUUUUAAUAUAUAUAUUUUUAGUACAUUUCACUAUUUCAAAAUUUUUCCUAACUUCACAUUUAACUUAUACUCACUAAAUUAAUAAUAUUUCCUACUCAUUUGUCGGAUUUAGUGAUCUCGAAUCACUGUUCUGACACCACUGAAAAUUAGGCUGUUACAAAGAAAGUUUUUCGUUUUGGCUAAAAAGGAUAACUUAGUCCACGAUUCAUCAGUCCGUAUGAGAUUCUUGAGAGAAUAGGGUCGGUAGCUUAUCGUUCAGCUUUGCCUUUAGUACUAGAAAAGGUUCAUAAUGUUUUUCAUGUACUGAUAUUGAGAUAGCACAUAUCUGAUCCCUCUCACAUGAUCUCUUCGGUUGAUAUAAAGUUACAGUAUGAUAUGACGUACAGUGAAGAACCGAUUGAAAUUCUAGCUUGGGAAAUCAAAUAUUUGAGAAACAAACAUAUAGCUUUAGUAAUGGUUCUUUGGAAAUGUCACAGUAUCGAGGAAGCUACUUGGGAAUCGGAAGAAGCUAUGAAAUUGCAACACUUGAACCUUUUCUUUGGUAAAAUUUUUGGGGACAAAAAUUCCUUUAGAGGAAGAGUUGUAACAACCCAUUUUUCAGUGAUGUCGAAAAUACUGGUUUUAGAACCACUAUUCCAAUAAGUGAUUUAGUAAAUAUUGUUUAUUUAAUAUUUACAAGUCUAUUAGAGAGUCAUAUUAAAGUUUGGUUUAGUAAUUUUGAUGUUUGAAUAGUUAAUUAAGGAAAAAUGACUAAAUUGUAAAAACUAUAAAAGUCAAUUGGUAUUAUUUUAUUUGUUAAAAUGCUUAAAUGGUUAAAAUGAGAGGAUUUAAUUGAUAAUUGGACCAUAAGGAAUGUCAAUGGACGGUUAAGGUCUUUGGAUUAAUGAAAAUUUAAGUUUAAUUAAAGUUUAAAAUAUUAAAUAAUUAAAUAUUAAAAAAUAACAAAAGAAAAGAUGGUCAUCAUCUUCUCAUUUUUGCUUCACCACCGUUUCCACCAUUGUUGUUGACGUUUAUGGUUCAGCCAAGCUCCUAGGCUUGCAUGUAAGUGAAUUUGAUGAUUGUUUUUAGUAAAUUUUAUGUUUUUGAUAUCAUUAUAGCUUAAUCUAGCUAACCCAAUGACUAUUUUGUAAAAUUGUUGUAGUCUAGAAAUACCCCAUUUUAGUCUGUUUUUGUUAAACUUCUUUUUGUAAAAGAUUUGUAUCUAGAUUCACAUGGUAAACUAUUGUAGGGAAUUUUCUUUUCCCUCAUAUAUCAAGUCUUUCAAUUGGAAUGCCAUAAGAAAUGUUUUAAAGAAGAAAGAAAUUGUGAACUGAUUUUGUUAAACGGCUAAGUUUUAUGUGGUAAUACUCAAAAUCUGGAUCUAAUAAAUAGGGUCAGGUUGAAGGCGUCACAGGCAAGGUCAUAGAAUCUUGCGAUCUGUGUUCACAAUACUUACGCAAAACUUAGUUCACCAUUACUUACUAUCAGAUAGCUUUGAACUAUAAAACAUGAUAUUUUUGAAAAUAUAACUUAUUCAUAUGUUAUUUACUGUUGGAUAAGAGGAUCUCCUUAUAACGCUUCAAAAUGACUCAAUGAGUCUUAAUAUGACCCAUAAGUGUAGCAUAAAGCUAAGAACUCUCCAACAGACCAACAUGUCCCAUUGAGUAGAUCUUGGGUUGACACUCCCUUAUCUCUCCAACAUGUCCUAAGGUAUUUCGCCCAAAACAUAAAAUGUGAAGGUGAGUACUCAAAAUCCUAUGGCAUGCCAUUAUAUCCAAUAAUUCAAAAGUUUUAUUGCCAAAAAAUUACUUAAAACAUAGAGCUCGCCAAAUCAAGAAGAGCUCGCAGAGCACUAUUCAUAUUGAGCUUGCAAAUAGAGCUUGUAUGUAAUUAUUCAUAUAAACUCAUAUUUAAAACUUUCACAAAACAAAAUUUUAGAAAAGACUUACUCUUAGAACUUAGGAUAAAACCUUAAGCUCCUUAUUAACAUUAUAGUUUGCACAUACAUGUGGUGAUCCUUGAACGCUCACCAAUUUGCUAAAAACAUUAGAGAAGCUUCGUUUUUUCCUUAUCUUUGCUUGUAGAUGGUUUUGUCAAGUUCACAAUUUCACAAACAUACACAAGCCACUAAAAAACAUAACACAUUAAAACUCAUACAUAAACACAAGCGAUUCUAGGUUUGUACAUGUUGGUCUUUUGGCGAUCCUAGUUCCGUUUGUUGCGAAUUCUUCUAAACACAAUAUAGGAAUAGAGUCUUACCUUAGAUCCUAAGAGCUAAGUUCUGGGUUUUUAAAACUGAAUAAUAUAACAAUCGACAAAAAAAUUGAUAUAUUGUUGUUGCUUAAUAAAAUAUGAAAUUUCUAAUGGAAAGUGUUUAAUUUAUAGGCACAAAGUGUUUUGGUAUUCUUAGGAUACCCUAGUCGCAGUAGAAGUAGGAAAUAAUUAUGUGUAUGAAUGAUGUUGUGAAGAGAAAAGUAAGUUGACUUCCUAAUUUUGGUAUAAUUACCCUUUGAAUACUCAUACUUUUGACUUUUAACCCUAAACAAAGAUAAUAGCCCGCCAUGCCCUUUGGUGAUCCCUGCUUCACCAAACCCACUGUUAAUCAGAGUUAACUAAAUCCACUAGCUAACAGUAGUUCGCCAAACCAACUAAAAAUCACUAGCUCACCAGACCUACUAGCGUAUACAAUCUCACUAGACUUGUUGGCAUACACCAUCUCGUUGGACUUGCUAGAGAAUAUUAGCUUGCCAAGCCUUCUGGCGAACUCCAGCUCGCGAAACUUACUGGCAACACAGUUCACCAGGCUCAAACUUGUAGGUCCUAUUUUGGGAUGUUACAACUCUCCCUUUUAUAAGAAAUUCUUCCUUAAAAUUUCCUAGACUAGAUGAGGAUACUGACACUUCAAUGCUUCUUUUGUCUUCCACGUGGCUUCGCUGGGUUUGUGGUUUUGCCAUAACACUUUGACCAAAUGAACUCUCUUAUUUUGCAAGACUUUCCUUGCGACCUAUGAUUUCAACUGGUUCCUCAUCAUUAGUUAGACCAGAUCACACCUCAAUUUUAUCCAUUGACACAACUUGGGAUGGAUCCACUGGAUACUUUCUUAGCAUGGACACAUAGAAAACAUCAUAGAUUUGCUCAAGUUCUUGUGGCAAUAUAAGUCGAUAGGCCACUGGACCAAUCCUUACAACCACUUCAUAUGGACUUAUGGACCUUGGAUUUAGUGUUCCCUUUCACCCAAAUCUUAAGACGUUCUUCAAUGGCGAGACCUCUAAGAACACUUGCUCACUUACCUAGUACUCAAUAUGUCACCUUUUUAAGUCAGCAUAGGACUUUUGUCUAUCUGAUGUAGUCUUUAGUCAUUCGCAUAUCGUCUUUACCUUUUCCUCUGUUUCACGAACUAACUUUAGUCCAACCAUUCGCCUUUCAUCUAGUUCUAUCCAACACAAGGGGGUUCUAUAUUUUCUUCCUUACAACGCCUCAAAUGGUGCCAUUUGACUGCUUCUUUGGUAGCUAUUAUUGUAUGUGAACUCUGUUAGAGGUAGAUACCAUUCCCAACUUCCAGUGAACUCUAACACACAACUUCGCGACAUGUCUUCCAAUACUUGUAUCACCCUCUCUGAUUAUCCAUCUGUAUGUGGAUGAUAAACAGUACUAAAGUUAAAUUUUAACCCCAAUGCUUCUUGCAGAAUUUUCCAAAAUCUCGAAGUGAAUUGAGGAUCUCAAUAAGAAGUAAUGGAAACUAGUACAACAUGAAGCCACACUAUCUCUGUGAUGUAUAUUUGAUCUGUCAUUAUUCGUUGUAGCAGAUUAAACUAUUUUUCGCAUUUAAGGAGCUUGAAUACAAACAUUUUCAUUAUGUUUUCUUAGUUUUAUUUAUAUUCAAUAAAAUGUGCAAAUUGAGUCUUUUAUUGACCUUAGGGGCCGAAUGAGGCCUAAGGGAGAGCUAACACACCUUGUGAGUGUGUAGGAUACCUUUAAAAGGUGUACUGAACUGAUAUUGGUAACUAUGUCGCAACAUGGGAAUUUGAUGUCGCAACAUAGAGAGUAGAAUGGAGAAAGCUCAAGACUACCUUCGAUGUCACAACACACCCCUGAAGAUAUCCUAAAAGGAGUAUAUUAACUUCUAUGUUGCGACACAAGUCCUGGUGUGUCACGACAUCAACUUUGAAACGAGAAUUAAAUACAAAACAAAGGUGUUUUGGCCUGCAUGAUCAAACUUAAAGCUUAAGGACGUCAGCUAACCUAGGGUUAAGGAUGACUGCCACCUAAAAUCUAUAAAUGGGCUCCUUUAGCAUAUGUUAUGGACAUCAUUCACUUAGACUAGAUUUUCUUUAGCAAAAUUAGUUUAGUUUUUCUUUCAUUUUUAGGUUUUAAAAUUUAUUUCAGUUGUUUUUCGUUUUUCUUAAGAGAUUUGAAUUGUUGAAAGCAUUCAAACUUUAUGGAUUUGGGAUUAAUUUCAAUAUAAUCAGAAUCUUUCAUGCACUCUAUACUAUCGAUUUAAUUAACAUGCUUUCUCUUUAUAUUGAUUCUAUAUAGUCUAUGAAAACCACGAGGAACUAAUCCCUCUAUAAGGGAUUAGCGAAUGGAGGUAUGGUUUAUUGACUAUUUUGUAGGGUUACUCAAUGGAUCAGCUGUUUGGGAAAGAAAGAACGUGAAACAAACCCUAAGCCUAACAACCUCGGGAAGUCAUCAAAGUGGGAAUUAACCCAAAUUGGUAUGGCCCAUUCGUUAACACCUUCACCCCAAGCCAGCUUGGACCGUGAGGUCGGAAGAUAAGUAGUCCUUACUGACUCAUUAUGUUAGUGGAAGAUUGAAAGAUCCUACUAGUGUAACGAAUAGUUGAUUGACGAGGAACCCGAAAUGACAGUUGAUGGAGAUUAUCGAAGCGAGCUUAUCACCCAUAAUCAAGAUUUGAUUCAUUCUCCUUUUCUAUCUCUUGAAGUUUAUUCCUUUUAUGAUAUUUUUAUUAUUAUUAUAAAAAUCCUAAAAAUCCUUUAUUUUAUGAUUUCGUACUACAAACUAAUUUAAAGUACUAAUUAGAUAUUUUAGUGUUUAGGCUAGAAUUGAUCUAGUGCUCACCUCCUUUGGGUACGAUCCUCGGAGUACUCACCUUCUUCAUUGUAAAACUAUAUUACAACUUGAACUGUAUACUUGCGGAUACCGCCUUGUAUUUCUUUAUUUUAUUUUAGUAUUCACACUCUAGACGUUAGUACAUCUGGAGGCAGUCAAGUUGUUGGAGCCAUUGCUGAGGAGGCAACACCACUAGAUUGAUUCUAAUUUUCACAUAGCAAAAAAGAAUAAUUAGGAAAUUUGUAGGCUAUAGAUAUGACUUUCAGUUUCUUUUGUUAAUUAACAUUUCUAACAUUUGGUUUUUUUUAGGAACCCUAGACAUCAUCAACCAAAUAAUUAGUCAGUACAAAGCCAUGGAUAACUUUGAUUAUAUGUGUUUCGGUGAAGACUUUGAUUAUGAUGAAGAUAUUUAUGAGGAAGGAAUCUAUGAGGACUGGGAGAUACAUGAGAACCAAUGGUUAUUAAUGCUAGAAUUAAGUUAGCUCUGAGGAGAAACCCUAAUUAUUUCUCCAGAAGUUCACAUUAAUAUACUCCAGAAAGGCAUCAAGAUGUGUCAAGUCCAGAAUGGACUGAAGGGAAAGAUGCCAGUAGAGAAACAUGUAAGGAAUAUGAACUCUUAAGCUGCUAUUCAUCCCAACAGAUAGAAGAAAAAUGAGA
rnacentral:lncRNA from 1 species